AAAAAUCUCACAUGGUCCCUGCAACUCUAGUGCUGAUGUGGGAGUUAUCAUCCUCAUCGAGCUUGGCUAAACCAAAAUCGGAAAUCCUUGGAUUGAGGUCUUUAUCAAGAAGAAUGUUGUUGGGUUUUAUGUCUCUAUGAACAAUUUUCAACGUGGAUUCUUCAUGCAGAAAAGCCAAGCCUCUUGCUAUACCAAUACAAAUUCUUUGUCUGGUUUGCCAGUCCAUUUUUAAUUGCCUUUCCUCUGGUCCUGUUCCUGAUAAUACGAUUCAAUUAAGUGUGUGCAUUGAUUUUAAAUACUAAAUUUGUAUAUUAGACAAGAUUUUAAAGAAUGCACAACGCAGGCAUAAAUUUCAAUUACCAUAUAAAGCGCGGGCAAGGCUAUUGUUCUCCAUGUAUUCAUAAACCAGCACUAAAUGGCUUCCCUCAAUGCAACGUCCAUACAAUUUUACGAGAUUUGGAUGCUGUAAACUAGAAAUCAUGCCUAUUUCAUUCACGAAUUCACGGUUCCCUUGAUUUGAUUUGGAAGAUAGCUGCUUGACAGCAAUUACACUACCUUCCAAUAGUAUACCCUGCAAAUGAAGCAUUAUAGUACCACAGACAUGCACGCAUAUAGAAAUGUUAGAAAAAUAUAAGCGCGAAGGUAUAGACAAAGUAUAAGAGAGAAAAGUUGGAAGUUAAUAUUUCUACAUACCUUGUAGAUAGAUCCAAAACCACCUUCCCCAAUUUUAUUUACAGCAUCAAAGUUGUUUGUGGUGGCUUUGAUUUGUCUAAAAGUAAAAAAGCCAGUCCGCAAAUCUAAUCUCCUUAGUUCUAGAAAAGAACAAUUUUUAGAUGUUGAAUUCAUUGUAAGCUAUAUAGUUAAGGAUUUCGUCAUCUCUCUUUUUCUCUAUGCAGUACACUAGAAUAUAUUUUAGUUUUUCUUUGAUCUAUUGCUUGGCCAUGGUCACAUCACCACGAAAAAGUUAUUUAUCCUAAAUUUGAGAGUAACUUCCAUAGUUGUCAUCUGAUGCAUUACUACUGUAAGACUAUCCAUAACAUUAUAUAUGACAAUUCAAUAUUUACAUUCUUGCUUAAAUACUAAGAAAGGUCUAUUUGUUCACCUUCUUCCCUUGAGAUCCUGCCUCCUAUAUAGCCUUUCCACCAUGAAAAAAUAAGAAUAAUGAGAAUGAAAAAAAUUACCAAAGCUGUUACUCCUGUUGGGAUGAAAAUAUUCUUUCCUUCGGAUGGAGACUUAAAAUCUACAUAAUGAAAGAAAUAAAGAAUAAUUUGUUACAUGGUGUUCAGUUUGCUAGCUAGCACCAGAAAAAAAUUACAUAAAGGAAUUGGUAUAGGGAAUUUGAGAACAAUAACAAGUGAAAAAGAACGAUAAUAGAUUAAUUAAUCGAGUACUAAUUUAAGUGCCAUCAACACCUGAGUCAUGUUGCUUAAGUUGCAAAAGAUUAUGUGGUUGUGCAGAUAAGAUGUAUAUUUUCUCAAAUAAAUAGAUAAAAAAAAAAUCUUAAGAGAGAUAGAGGUGUUUUGAGGAUAAAUUUAAUGGUAUUACACAAACAAUCUUACCAGAUUCCACAGAAAUGGCAGAUAUCAAAGGGCCAUAUACUCUUCCGAAAGGGAUGGCUAUUGAUCCUUUCCCAAAAUAGUAAAAUCAGAUAUCCAGAGUUUUAUUCUUAACUAUCGCAUUAAAUUGUUUUUUCACAGCUUUAUCAACUCCUUUCGCAUCCUUCUUAAUAUCAAAAUCUUUCAAUUUCAGUUCAUCCUAUAUUACGUUGAAUAAGUUUGAGUCAAAUUGCAACAGUAAAUGGCACUAAAAAGAACUGUUUAUUUAUUACUUGACCUGGAUAUAAACGUCAAACAUCCGUCUCCCAAGACUCUGGAAAGAGUUAUUAUCUCUAAAAAUUAUCUCUGCAAAGUGAAGUGUCACAGUGUAGUUUCCAUUUACUAAGCAACGCCCGUAAUAAGUGAGAGAUAAAGGAGAUAGACGAGCAUCUGCAUAGAGUUCAGAGUCCUUCAUUUUUAGCACAGAUACAUUGUAGGCUUUAUAGUGAUUCUUGAACCAAGGAAAAUGUCCUGUACUACUAGUUCCCCAGUUCUCUUUUGAGUGAACAAAUUGUACUGAACCUCCUGUUUGUACAUCAUCUUCAAUUUUUUUGUUGCCAAUAGUAACUUCCCCUCCACCACAGUUUACAUAAAAGGAAUACCAAUCUAUGAAAAACCAAAGCAUAUUAAGUUUUCUAGAACAUCUCCAAAAGACUCUUCAAACAUAAAAUUUCUCUAUUUUAAAGAAUCAAGCCUUAAAGUUAUGCUUCAAGAGACUAUUUAAUUUAACAUUUUAAUUUAGAGAGAGUUUGACUCUCCAAAUUUAGAGAGUCAAACACGCUCUUUAUAAUUUAAUGCAUUUAAAAUAUUUCAAUUUUCAGUGAAAAAUAAUAUAAUAAUUUAGAGGAAAGCUAGUGAAAAUAAAAGACAAGAAAAAAACAAUAAAUAUUUUUCUGAAGUAGUAAAAUUAAUUAUUAUAUAUAAAGAACUUGUUGAAGUACUUAAAAAUUUUUACUCCCUAAAUUUAAAUGUUCUUUGUCGCGGAAGCUCGUUCGAAGAUCUUAGAAAUGGUGAAUUUCGGGCUCAGUUUUUAGUUAUAUUUCUCUACCAAACAACCAAUUUACACUACUCCAACCCACAAUCAGUAUAUUUAUCUCGAUUGCUCCUCAAUCUCACCCACAAAGAAUAAGGUAACAGUGAUGAUUUAUAGGCCACAAAGGCAUGAGAAAAACAACGAAAAAGGCAAGAGAAUGGACCAAAAUACACAAGAUGAAGGCACUGAUUUUCUCUCUAUAUGGCAACUGGCCUUUCCAGGAAGAAGCAACCACAUUUUUCCUCAUUUUCAUAAACAAAUCAUACACUAACGGCAAGGGGAAAAAGCAACAUAUAUAUAGGGUUAGGUUAGGUUUUAGUUGGACCAAUAAGGGUUAAAUGGGCCAAAAUUCAAAGCUAUCUAAGAGGCAAUAUAUAUGUGCUGUGAGUAGCUCUAAUUUCUUAAGCUACUUCCUACAGUCCAUAUUGUUUUUAGGUCGCGCUUUUAGACUUAAUUGUUGGUAACAAUUUCACUCAUUGACCAAUACCUAUGAAACUCAAUCUAACAUUUAAUAAUCAUAGCCAAAGAUUUAUUGGGUAUCAAAACUCAACAAAUCUUCACCUUUAUACCCAAUCAACUUACAAGUAAUCAAAAUACAAAGUUAGUACUUACACAAUCAAAGUAGCUAAUAAAAUUAGGAUCACAGACUUUACCUCGUGUUUUGGACCCGAAACACAUACCAUACCAACUUUACGUACUCACCAGGGCUAUAGUCUUAAAGAAAUACCCACAGAUCUUUUCAAACCCAUGUUCGCACAGAACAAAAGAUUAACACCAAGCUAAUCAACAAACGGUUAACAUAUAUACAACAAAUGCAUAAAUGACCACAUGAAAAGAUCUUACCACACUUAUCCUAUCCCAUUUUUGUUCCCCUCUCAUUGCCCACCAUGUUUACUAAACUGAUCACUCAAUUCAUGUCUAACUCAUAAAUCAAAAUAGGUCCUAAAUUCAUAGGAUAAUCCUAUAUCACCAUAUUUCCAACCUACGUGGAUAAAUGAUUCUCCACCUAACAUAAGUGAUAGAAGUAUAUCUCUUACACUCCACAUGAUCAUGAUUUUCUCAGUUAAAGAGUUCCAACAUUUAAUCACAUUUUCACUCGUGAUCAAAAUGUCACAUCUCACAUUCCUGGUACAAACCACCAAUGUACCCCUAGUCAUCUAUACUCCACCUCACCAAUAGACACACAACACAAUUAUUGCUAUUACAUCCUAAUCCACUAUGUAUGCAAACAAUUAUACCAAAUAAUCACAUUGCUCUCAAAUUCAUACAAUGACACAUAGAAAUAUCAUAUAACUAUGCAACAUAAUUAAGCAAUCAUACAUGCAGAAAGGAGUACACACAUUUGCACAUGCAAUAACUAGGUUUACUCUCAAUAAACCUCACUAUGAUUAUCACUCGACCUUAUAGCCAUAUUCACCUCACCUCUCAUCUUACCCUUCUGCUUAUCCCCUUUUUUGGGACAACCUCUCACAAAGUGUUUAGACUUACCAAAGCUGUAACAUUAGUUACCACUAGACUUAUCCCAACCUUUAACCUUUUUUUUUUUUUUUUAACCACCGUCAACACUCGAGUCACCACUUAAAUCACAACUAUCUUGAUUUCUUCCCAAAUUUAUAUUUUUAAACUUCAUUCUACUCUUCAUUAUAUAUAACUUACAACUCCUCUUAUCCUCCUUUUCAGCCUUAAUCUCCAUUUUCUUAUUGUUAAGAGAAUCUAUGGCAAUAUCGGGUGUUAAGAUGUCACUACUAUAUUUAAUUGCAUUCUUAACCUCUCUAUAUGAAUCAUGUAUUGAAUUAAGCAAAAUAAUGGCAUGAUACGUUUCAUACACCUCCUAUCACAGUUAAAAUUAUAUUGAACCAGCUUGUUAAAAACAUCUAAAAAUAUAUUGAACGAGCUUGGCAAGGAUUCAUUUUAAAAUUGAAAAAUCUAUUGAGCAGACGCAAUUUAUUAGGAGUAGACUUAAGCAAAUAUAAACCCUCCAACUUUUUUCAAAGUUUUUUUAGUAGAAUCAAGUUUUUCAUUUUUUCUCAAAAUAGUGUCUGAUAGGUGUAAAAUAAUUAAAGUGUAAGUAAAUUUAUCCUAUUCUUCUUUUCGUGCUUCCGUCAAAUUUGCUGGAAAUUUGCUAUUUAUGACUUUUGAAACUUUUUGUUGAACUAAAAUCUUUUCAUUUUUUGUUACCUAAUAGAAAAUUCCCCUUUCUUAUUGAGAAUUUCAACUUCAAAAUGUGAUGACAUUUUGAAAAACAGAACAACUAAAGUGCACAAAUAUGUCACACAAAGUAAUCAUAAGGACGCAAUAUAUAUCAUUAUAGAUUCCCAGGGUUUCGUGAGACUUGAGAUCUCAGUAUCAAGGAAAUGUUCAAAUGGGUUAAUACUAGGUGUUCUAACAGAAUAACCAAUGUAACACGAAGGUAUAUCAACAAAAAUUUAGUUUUUCACACAAUCCAGUCUCACACAGUGACUAAAUGGCAACUAGAGCACAAGGAUAAUUAUCAACUUACUGUCCAAUUCAACACUUCAAAUAUGGUAAGUAAUGCCUAAAUUUCUAGCACAAUCAAUGGUUACCUACAUGGUAACGCCAAUCCUGAAGUAGAAAUUUAAAUUGGGAUAAGCCAAUAAAUCAGAGUGAACCAAUCUCAGUCCAUAAAUAAUGAGAGAUGCGAACUUACACUUUUGGGCCACCACUACUUGCCAUAAAGUUUCCAUCAAUCGCAGAAAUCAAUCAACCAUGAUCGAAUCCCGAACACACGAAGGAUAAAUUUAUCCAAAUUCCACUGUAUAAAUUUAAACAGAAAACUAAUAACAUCAAAAUGUCAGGAUCAAAUUACCUGAAAAGACCUCUAUCUAAAACCUUCGCAUGCGCCCUCAAGCGCCACCAACAGCCUUUGUGCAUGGGAUUCACGCACCGGCCACUCUGGUGCGCCUUCACGUGCACGUCACACUAGUAGUCUCCAUUUCACCAAAAUCAUUUUUGUUUGAUCAGAAAUCAUGAAAACAUCCUCGAUUUUUGUGUAAUUUUCUAGACAAUUUUGCAAUCUAUUUUUUGCUUCGUUGAAAGCCAAUUUUCUGUCAAUUUUUCGAGCCAAAUCUAUUACUUGAAGCUUUGAUACCAAUUGUCAUGGAAGCUUUCUCCAAGAUCUUCGAAACGGUGAUUUUCAAGCUCAGUUUUACGUUACUUUUCACUACAGAUCAAUCCACACAGUCCAACCUACAACCAAUAUAUUCACUCGGUUCCUCCUCAAUCUCACUCACAAAUGACAAGAUAAUGGUGAUGAUUUGUAGGCCACUAAGGCACGGGAAAAUUGACGGAAAAAAGCAAGAGAAUGGACCAAAAUACACAAGAUGAAGGCACCGAUUUUCUCUCUCUAUGGGAGCCGAUUUUACAUGAAGAAGCAGCCAUGUUUUUCCUCUUUUUCAUACACAAAUCAUAUACUAAUGGCUACAGUAAAAAGUAACAUAUAUAUAGGGUUAUGUUAGGCUUUAGUUGUCCCAAUAAAGGGUUAAAUAGGUCAAGAUUCAAAGCUAUUCAGUAGAUAAUAUAUAUAGAUCGUGAGUAGCAUUAAUUUUUAAGCUACUUCCAAUUGUCCAUGUUGUUUUCGGAUCAAGCCUUUGGACUUGAUUGUUGAUAAUAAUUCACUCAUUGACCAAUGCCUAUGAAAUUGAAUCCGAUGUUUACAUCGCAGCCCUAAAUUCAUUGAGUAUCAAAAUCCAACACUCUAAAUUGUAGAAUAUGCUCUUGAGUGUAAAACAGAUAAAAGUGCUAUAACUAUAUACGAUAUAUUACAUUACUACUGUAUUCUUUUUGUUUUUAGUUUUCAACUUGAGCACAAAAAAUGAUAUUGCAAACUUGUUGGUAUACUACGCUUGGAUGAUGAGAUUCGUGUAAACAAUCAAGGCUGAGCUUGUAAAAUGAAGUACUUACCCUUUCAACAAGGAGUGAGGCACUUCCCCUGUUCUCUAUAUGAAGUCAUAUGGCAAGGGAGCAGAAUGAAUAAUAUGAUAUACAAAGUUAUGUUUAGAUUACAAUAAUCUUAUCUACAUAAGAAGCAACUUAAAAACUGUUUUCUCCACUAAAGCUUCUGAACAAGUUUCUGACGCAGAAAGAAAGGGAAAAAACAAAUUGAAGUUAUGAAAAACAUACAGAAAGACAGCAUACGAAGAAAAAUUGGGGCUUACAUAUUGUUCCUGCAAAUUGAUGGAUCAGAGUCUCAUUGAAGUUAUUGUAAGAAUGAUUUACGUGGCUGCAAAUGCAUUUAAUAUCUCUUUAAGAACUUAUUUCAAUCCUCUAAAAUUAAUGAAAGAAAAGAAUCCAUAAAUUACAUAGUGAUAGAUGUCCACCAGUAUGUAGUAACUAAAGUAAAAAUGAGAUUGUUUUCGAACUUAUGAGACUAGUCCUGUAUCUUAAGGUGAGCUUGAACAACAAUUGUAUGUCUGGAUAUAAAGAUGUCAAUAGAGGUCCUGAGAGAAAUGGGAAAAUUCCAUUUCUGUAUAAAUUUGAGGACAUCGUCAUUUAUGAUGGACAAUGCUACUAUUAAAUCACAUAGAUAAUCUUAUAGACGCUAAAUAAUAAGAAAUAUAGAAGUGAACUUACAGCUCUUCACUUAUGCUUUGGAUCCACUUUGGAAUUUGCCCACUGAUAAGAGUGUAAAAUACCAUAUUUUCCCCUCUUAACUAUUGCAUUCAUGUGAUUAUAUUCUGCCAAAAUGCAUUCAUUACUCUUAUAUUUUGGUUUAGGUUGCAUUUUGGUGAAAAAGAUGAAAUUCGGAAGAUACAAGUGAAAAAUGAACAGAGUAGAAGAGAACGAAAGUUCGAGGACUAAAGUGCAAAUGAUCCAAACUUGUGUCCAAGAUUAUGAUGAAGAUUCGAAAGUUUUAGAGGUCAAGUGGAUGAGAAAAGAAGUCAAAGGGAUGAAAUAACAUCAAAGUUUGAUCAAUACAUCAAUUUCCAAUCGAAAACUAACACACCAGUUUUUAGUCUCAUGUUGGGACCCAUUUUUGACAUGGAAGAUGAUAGAAUUGGGAGAUGACUUCUGAAUAAAAAUUGUGGCCCUUUGAGUUAGCUAUCCAAUGCAACUUGAAUCACCUCAAUUGGAUAUCGGAAAAGAAAGGUAUGAUUAAAACACUGAAAGCUGUCUGGCGGAACCUUGCGGCCGCAUGCCUUUCUACUAUGCGGUCGCAUACACCUAUACCGAGAAUUCAAGAGGCUGAAAGUGCAUAACCAUGCGACCGUAAUGACAAUAACCAUGCGGUCGCAUAGUGUUUUUUUGGCGGCCGAAUCUCAGUUUCCUUAUACGAUUGAAUCUCUUAUGGUAACCUAAUUUUCACGGGAUAUAAAUGCCCAAAACCAUCCAGAACGAAGGGAGACGCCACCAGACCUAUUUCUUUCAUCUUGGUGCUCAAGAAACUCCAUGGAAAACUAAGGAACUCGGUGAAGCAACGAAGGAACUCAUUGGAUUUGGAGAUUUCACGUCAUAAUUUCAUGUGAUUCGAACUCUCUUUGCUUAAUAAUUUCUAGAUUUGAAUCUUCUCGUUAUGAAUUAGUAUUGAAAUUUGUUUAACUUUUAAUAAAUUUCUCAUGGAUUCAGUCAUGUUUUUUCCAUUGUUAAAUUAAACUAUUUGUUGAGUUUCAAUUUAAAUUACUUAUUGUUGAGAUUAUUUUAACUUUUAUCAAAUCCUUCAUAGAUCUAGCCAUGCUCUUUCUAUCGAAUGAUUGAAAUAAUUGUUGAAUUUUAAUCUUAAUAUCACUUUAUUGGCGGAUUGAUUACUGCCUUAUGCCUGACGUAUAUGGUCGAUUUUUGAUCUUGUUCCAAUAAAAAUGUGCGAAUGUGUUAUAGAAAAUCUAGAUUCUAGAAAUAUAAUUGGAAUAAAAUUGGACUUCACUGUUAAAUCUUCCAAUUAGAGAGUUUGGAAGAAAACCUCUAAUUGAGUAAAAAUACAUGAAUUAUUGAUGCUGAUUGAUCCAAUCCAAUGGGGGAACUCCGACGCUUCACUAAUUCGCAUAUUGAUAAUUAAUUUUUAUUCCAAGUGACAAAUCAUUCCCACAUUUAAUUACGAAAACCCUAGUUUGUUUGAUCUUUUGAGAAAUUUUCCAUCUCCCUGUGGAUACGACACCCCAAAGUUGUACUACAAUAACCGCAUUAUUCUUUGGGCGUAAUCACCCACUGAGAAAGUUACUAGUCAGAAACCUAAUCACAAACAUAAAAUCCAAAUGAAAUCAAAAUUAUACAUUUAGAUGACAGGACAGAACAUCAUGAAAGAACAAAAGUAUGGCCUAGUAGAGUAUAUGAAUGACACUUGAACACUAAGGAUUGAAUAUGAACUGGACAUCCUUAUGUUUGGUUACAGUGGUCCUUAUUACUUGUUUUGGAAAUAAAAAGUAGGAUUUAGGAUAUGAACAUGAACAAAGUCUUCCAUUAUCACGCUUCAAUGACAGGUGAAUAACAGAGCAAAGCUUUUGUACAAAUCAAUUGAAUAAUAUCAUACUAAUUCACUUACAAGUUCGUUAGACUUGGUAGGCGAUCAAAAUCUGGAACCUCUCCUUUUAAGUUGUUAAAGCUCAGAUCUCUGUGAAUACACCACACGAACAUCUUACGACCAAACGCAUAUUUUCUCAGCUUAACAAUAUGGCAGUGCAUAGUUAUCUUAACAUAGAAAAGUAAACCUAAAUUUUGUAUGAUAUCCAGAAAGAAAGAAAAAAGAUCGGCACAAAAGCAAUGGAAGCAUAGGAAAACAAACAAAAAUUACAGGAUUUUCUAAUGUAGAUUGGGAAAAACUAAUGUGGCAAGCUCUUGGAUGGUACGAAACUUCACAAUCUGAAAAUGCACAUGGUACGUCCUCCAUAUUUUUCCAUAGCCAGGUCUCCACCACAAGUACAUAUUUUAUUACAAGCAGUAGGUUUUUGUGGCAUGGAGUACAACAAAUUCGUGUUUUUGGUCACUAUCUUCAACAAGUAACAAUAUAAGUGUCAAAUAUACUCAAUGAUAAUCAAUAAUACUCGAUGUCCUUCAAUGUGAGAUGUUCUCUUAGUGUAUAAAAUUAAAAUCACAAAUAAAUAUGGUAGCUAUCAAUUAUAAUUAUUCAUUAAUGGUAACUUAUUAAAUAUGGUAGUCCUUAUUUUUCACUAACAUCCCCUCUCAAAUCUCAAAUUGAUGCUUAUUAAUUUGCAAUCAUAAGUUGACGGUGGCGACAUUGCUCGUGCGCACGAAAAAGAUAUCCAAAUCAAAGUAAUCAUCUACGGAACAUUGUGACAACGAGAGAGCAAGAACAAUAAAUAGUACAGAAACAUCCAAAAACUACCUCAAGAAUAUUCCAAAACCACUCUAGAGAGUUCACAGCCCAAGAAGAAUUUCAAAAAGAAAUUCUUGAAGUGUACCGAUCACACAAUGAGAUCGGGAGAACUCAGUCAAACACAUAAUUAGUAUUCCAUCAAAAUCUCUAAUGGCCAAUAUACCAGCCAAAAAUCUAGUAAUAUAUCACUGACCAGGACGCUAUAGUUGGAAGAAAUAUCAGAAAACAGCCUGCACACAAAAAAAAAAAAAAACAAAGAUGAUCUGAGAACCCAAAAUUCUUGCUCGUCACCCAAGCAACCAAAGCUCCACCCAUGUCUCUCUCAUCCCAAUGACCAAUCAAUAUGAUUGCCAAGCUCCUUAUUGGAAGCAAAUCAAGCCACAUCCAUGUCGCCCACAAAGAGAAACCACAAUUUAUAGUCCAAUUGCUCACAACCCGUAACUACCUAGCCCAUUUUUAAUCAAGUUAUACACUCAUGUCCAAAAGCCAAGCCUACUUUCAACAAAUCCCUAACCUAUUCACAAAGCCUAGAAUAAAAUACUACUUAUUCAAAAUUGUUGAGGCCCAUAAUCAUCCAUUAAAGUCUUCAAAACCUAACCCGUUCAUCAAAUAAUAACGACGCCCAAACCAAUAAAGCAGCAGGCCCACCUACAAAUCCAUGACUCAGUGUCUUUUUUUAUCCCAUUCGCUUAAGAAUCUUCAGAUCUCUGCCAAAAAUCCAUUAAUUUUACUCUCACUAGUAACACUUCCUCUCUUUAAUCUGACGGUCUUGGAUUGAACUGAUACACAUUUUAUGCGCAAAUUAACAUAGUCGCAUUCACAGAAGUGUGAUUGUGUGUGAGAUGGCGUGUAAAGGAUUGUAGAAAAGUAAUGGGGUCUAGGAUAAAAAUCAAAUUCCAAUAAGAAUUCUCUCUACUUCUCAUGAUAAAGAUAUGUUGGCUGGUACUCCACCUCAGAAUUCCCAAUCAUUGACGAGCCUCUACACCUCAGAAUUGCUAGCAUUCAACGAGCAAUAUGGUGAUCCAUGGUCGACUAAUAGCUCUCUCUCAUCUUCAGCAAUUUCUCUGCGUUGAGAGAUCCGGCCCCUGGGUCGUCUAGUGGACUACUGGACUCGAAAAUGGUGACUGAAAUUUCCAUUUUUUCUAGAAUCGGUUGUUCCUGAAAUCCCACUGCCUAUGACAGAUUGGAGGCGAUGCUUUACAUGUCAGCAACGGCAGCAAGUAUGCUUGGUUCUGUUCAGUUCAUAGCAAUUUACAAGAUCGAACACAAGGAAUAUGGAUAGGGUCCACAGCAGCGGGGGCAAACUUGUCCUAACCUUUCUCUUCCAAUUAACUUUUCUCUCUGUAUCGCUUGAAACUCUUCGCAGAUUAAUUGCUUCACUGCUUUGGUGAAGUACUUAACUUAGUUUGGUGGUGAGCACACAAUUCAUCUUUUACCUCACUGUGAACGCCUGAGUAUCAAUAGGAGCGACAAAACCUAUUUCUUCUGUGCUAAACAAUUGAACUAAAUAUUUCUUAGGGUUAAGUGCUCUCUCUCAGUCUUCAGGUCACUAUUGCUUUGGCUGUUCUACCUCCGCCCACUGUUGAGACGGUUGUCGAUGAUGCAAUUAGAGAGAAAGAAUAGAGAAAUCACUUGAGGAUGAAUUGAGUUCUAAUCCAUAUGAUAUUCGAAUAUACUCAAUCAUAAUCAAUAAGCCCCUCAAUAUAAGAGGUUCUCUCGUUAUAUUGAAAUAUAAAAAAACUAAAUAUUCUAGCUAUCAUUUACAAUUAUCCAUUAAUGGUAACUUAUUAAAUACGGUAGCUUCCCUUAAAUAUGAGCUUUCCUUAUAUUCCACUGAUAGAAAUUUCCAAUGCCUCCCAAAUAAAUGGUUAUUUCUAGAAUGAAAGAAGAGGAAAUAAGAACUGUGGUUGUGUUAAAAGUUUACACAAUUCUUUAACUUUAAAUCUCAUGAAAAAUUAGCUCAUAUAAAUGUGAAAAGAAAACAACUAAAAUGCUAGAGGGAGUCCAGGACUGCGAGCUGCUAGGUAUAUUCUUUUUAAGUAACUCAUAGAGUUGGCAUUUAGUCACGAGAAUAUUGAAACAAUUAUGAUGUGGAGUGUAAUUGUAAAAAGAAGAAAAGAGGUACUACUACUAGAAUCAGUACUUAGAUAGCCUUCAAUGAUCCAAUGCCUGUAAGGUAAUUAGGAAUGCUUCCAGUUAUGUUACAGCUACUUAACGUCCUGCUAGCACGCAACAUAUGUAUAAAAUAAUAUGGUUCUAAAGGAAAUUAUCACAAUCUUCUAAGUUCUUUAUUGAUUUAGUGACAUUUACUCACAAAUACGUAAGGUUUCUCAUGUCUUUUAGCAGUGGGAACUCUGAAGCACCUCCAUUCAAGUUACUAAUAAUUCUGUAGAGAUAUCACAUUACAUCAGUUGUCAUCUUUACCAUCAAUGUAUAGUAAAUGAACAUAAUAUUGUUAUUGAAGUAUUGACAAACUGAAAUCUGACUGAAUAGGUUUCAACUCACAGUUCCUUUAAAUUUUUUAAGAUGGAAAUACUAGGAGGUAUGGGUCCUUCAAAACCAUUGCCUUUUAUCUCUCUGUUGAUAAUAAAUUAAUAAUGUCACGUAAACAAAAGUCGCAACUGUAAAUACUGCAGUUUGGAAAAUGCUCAUUCAGGAAAGGACUUACAAGCUCGUAAGGUUUGUCCAGCUCCGAAAAUUAGGUAAUUUUCCAGUGAAGUUGUUACUGAUUAGCCAACUGCAUUGGCCCCGAAAGACAUGUUAUCAUUAAAAUAGCAGAAAACUUUUUGCACUUUUCUAGAUUAAAAAACUUUAUACUUUGAGAAAUGUGUGGUGAAAUACUUACAGAAUUGUCAACAUUUUUAGAUUAUUUAAUUCAAUCGGCAACUCACUAGUGAGAUUGUUAUCAUAUAGAUAGCUACAGUGACCAAAGAGACAAGUUAAACUUACAUAAAUGGGUAAAUUACAGCCACUGUCUCUAACCUUUUGUUGGAGUAAUUUUCAAAAGAAUGCCAUUUAGACAUUGGUAAAUUAAAUCAAGGAAAUACAAUUCAAAAAGUACUUGAUCAAGAUGGGACAAGAACGAGAGAUGUAGGAAUGGACAAAAACUUGAGCCAGUUUGCAAAGUAAACUAGUGUAGGUGGGCAACAUGGAAGUGCUCCUGUGCUUCCUAGUUGGCGCAGGUGUGCUGCCAUGUUGCCCACCUACACUAGUUUGCUUGGUUGGCGUAGAUACGCUACCUGUGCUGGGUAGUCUUGAGAUUAACCCAGUAGCUUUUAGAACUUACUUCUUAGAGAACGUAAGGAGCAAAAAUGAAUAGGAAAGUUUCUGUGUAUUGAAGAUAAAAGUCACGCUAAUUGUACGUCAUGUGGUUCUUAAAUAUGAAUGGAAAAGACAGCACUAAUUACAGUUGUUUACAGCUGCACACUAACUGAAAAUUUCAACUAAUCUGACUAAUUCUUCAGCUCACUUCCACGUCAGCUUCUUCUGGUAAUCUCAAUAGCCCCCUUCAAGGUGGAGUGUAUAUGUUGCACAUAUUCAUAUUGCGCAGUAGAGAAUGAAAUAGAGAUGCUCCCACUGGUUUUGUCAUAAUAUCUGCUAGUUGAUUACCUGAAGAGACAUGCAUGGUGUGUAAAAUUCCAGCCUUAAUCUUGUCCCUUACUAAGUGACAAUCUAGUUCGAUAUGUUUUAUUAUCUCAUGAAAUAUAGGGUUGACAGCAAUGUGUAAUGCAGCUUGAUUAUCACAAUAUAACAAUGCAGACUUCUCAUGUUUGAUUCCCAAGUCAGCUAGUAGGUAUAAAAGCCAUUGAACUGUUAAAUGUGGCAUUAAUUUGUAAUCUUAGGAAAUAAAUAAGGUUACAUGCACUUGAAGAAAAUGUAUCAGGAAAAUACAUGAUGCACUUGAAGAAAAUGUAUCAGGAAAAUACAUGAUGCAAAUUCAUGAAUUAUUAGGUGUCCAUUUAUAUUCCCAUGUCUCUAGAGUUAUCCAUGUGGUCCUAUAAAUAGAGGUCAUUUUUGUAGUCUCAUUGUAAGAAAAAAAAGAAGAAAACAUUAUUGAGUGUGCUGUAGCAACUCAAAAACUAUCAAUAAAAAUUCAAGUUUUUCUUCAACACUUCGUUUCCGCACUAACAAAUUUGGUAUCAGAGCCAUAACUUGUGAUUGCAUUUUUUCAUGGCUUUCAUACAAACAGUUUCGUUGUUUACAUAUUCUUCCAGUCAAGUCCCAAUCUUCGAAGGCGAGCAUUAUGAAUACUGGAGCAUCCAAAUGCAAACUUUCUUCAUCUCCUUAGAUCUUUGGGAUGUCAUUGACGAUGAGGAAUACGAAGAACCAUCCGAAGACAAUGAAGAUUACGAAAAAUUGCAAAAAGAAUUUAAAAGAAAAGAUGCAAUGGCUCUCCGCUAUAUUCAACAAGGAGUCGGAAAAUCAAUUUUCCCUCGUAUCUUUGGUGUUAAAAAAGCCAAAGAUGCUUGGGAAAUAUUGAUGCAAGAAUUUCAAGGAGCGGAGAAAACGAUCGCCUUGAAACUUCAAUCCUUAUGGAGAGACUUUGAUAAUCUCCAAAUGGAAGAACGAGAAUCGGUUCGUGUUUUUUCUUCACGAGUAGCCGAGACAGUAAAUCAAAUCAAAAGCUGUGGUGACACAAUUACAGAUAAAAGAGUCGUGGAGAAAAUGUUAAGAUGCCUUCCUCCAAAGUUUGACCAUGUUGCAGCCGCAAUUGAAGAAUUGAAAGACUUGUCCAAAAUGACCAUUUAUGAGUUAACCGGGUCAUUUCUUGCCCAUGAGCAAAGGAUCAAUCGUUCGAGUAACCAAUCCACUACCGAACAAGCUUUCCAAAUCAAAGCAAACAUCAAAAGGAGGAUCGAACAACUAUGGAGAACACAACAGAGGCUCAAAUCAAACAAAACAAAAAGAUAGCCAUUGGAAGAAGGGUGACAAACAAAGCAAAUGGAAAGGCAAGCAAACACAAAUUUCUGGUGGUAACAAUCCAACUUGCAUAAUUUGCAAAAAAAUGAAUCAUGAAUCAAAGGAGUGCUACUUUAGAUGCAAAAGGUGCAAGAUCCCCAAUCAUUCUCAAAGGGAUUGUUGGUUUCAAAAUAAAGAGAUGACAGAAAGAAAAAGUGCAGCAAACUUUUCUCAAGAGAAUGAAAAGGAAAUUCUGUUUUAUUCUCAAAAUUAUGAAAAUGGAGCUCAAAGCCCUUGGUAUUUGGAUAGCGGUUGUAGCAAUCACAUGACGGGGAAUCGCGACAUCUUUGUGGACCUUAAUCCAAAUAUUACUUCACAAGUAAUUCUUGGCGAUGGAACAUGUAGAGAUGCGGUAGGAAAAGGCACCAUUGCUGUCCAAAUUAAAGAAGUUUUUGACAAAAAGAAAAAUAUUUGUGUGGCAAAUAUUGAAAUGAAGAACAAGAUAUUUCCUCUUAUGAUGCCACUAAAUGAGAAUUGUGCACUCAAGGCAAGAGACGAAGAUUUGGCGUAUUUGUGGCAUUUACGAUAUGGUCAUCUUCAUGAAAGAGGCCUUCGUUUACUCCAAAUGAAAAACAUGGUGACGGGACUUCCUAACAUCCAACACAUAGACAAAAUGUGCGAAGGAUGCAUCUAUGGGAAAUUGCACAAGUUGUCGUUUCCAAAAACUUCAUGGAGAACGAAAGCACUACUUGAGCUUGUGCACUCGGAUAUUUGUGGGCCAAUGCAAACUUCCACUUUUGGAAACAAGAGAUAUUUUAUUCUCUUUGUUGAUGACUUCACAAGAAUGAUAUGGGUUUUCUUCCUCAGUCAAAAAUCUGAGGCAUAUUCCACAUUUCUUCAAUUCAAAGCUCAAGCAGAAAGGCAAAGUGGUUUUUUGAUAAAAACUUUAAGGACCGAUCGUAGAGGUGAAUAUCUCUAUAAUUCUUUCAUGGAAUAUUGCAGAAAAAAUGGCAUCAAAAGACAAUUAACUGUGAGUCGAACUCCGCAACAAAACGGCGUGGCCGAAAGAAAAAAUCGUACAAUUGUUGAAAUGGCAAGAAGCAUGCUAAAGGGCAAAGGACUUCCAAAUCUGUAUUGGGCAGAAGCUGUAAAUACGGCAGUAUACAUUCUCAAUCGGUCUCCAACAAAGGCUGUACGGAAUAAAACUCCAUACGAAGCUUGGAACAAAAAGAAGCCAAUGGUUGAUCACUUCAAAAUAUUUGGCAGCAUUGCUUAUGCUCUUAUCCCUUCUCAAAAUCGGGAGAAAUUUGACGAGAAAGGACAAAAACUUGUCUUUGUUGGAUAUAGUGAUGAAUCUAAAGGAUAUCGGUUAUUAGAUCCAACUACAAACAAAAUUACAGUUUCACGAGACGUUGUUUUUUAUGAAGCUGCAUCUUGGGAUUGGAAAGGGAAAGAAGUUGUGGACCAGACACCAUACCAUUUUGUUGAUCCAUUAACAUUUCAAGCAGGUCCGUCACAAGUUGGAAAUUUAGAGCAUAAUCCAAACCCUACUCCAAGAAGUGAGGAAGAAUCUGAUCCAGAAAGCCCUCCAAGAAAGACACGUUCACUACAAGACAUAUAUGAGUCAUGUGAACUUGGGUUGUUCUCUAGUGAACCACAAUCAUUUGAAGAAGCCUCAAAAGAAGUAUGUUGGACAAAAGCCAUGAAUGAAGAAAUGUCCACAAUCGAGAAAAACAAAACUUGGAAGCUUGUUGCCUUGCCAGAAGGGAAGAAAAUCAUUGGACUCAAGUGGGUCUAUAAAAUAAAAUACAAUGAAGAUGGGUCGAUCCAAAAGCACAAAGCACGUCUUGUUGCAAAAGGGUAUUCUCAACAGCCCGAAAUUGAUUACACUGAAACAUAUGCUCCGGUUGCAAUAAUGGAGACGAUUCGUACUGUUUUGGCACUGGCAGCUCAAUUGGAGGUAUGUGUUUAUCAACUUGAUGUAAAAUCGGCAUUCUUAAAUGGUGAAAUUCAAGAAGAAGUUUAUGUCGAGCAACCUGAAGGAUUUGAAAUCAAAGGACAAGAAGGAAAAGUCUAUCGUUUAUACAAGGCACUUUAUGGUUUAAAGCAAGCGCCGCGAGCAUGGAAUAGCAAAAUCAAUAGCUAUUUCAUCCAAAAUGGAUUCAAUCGAAGCACGAGUAAAUCAUCUCUAUAUGUCAAUAGUCUUGGAAGAGACUUUCUUGUAGUAUGUCUUUAUGUGGAUGAUCUUCUAUACUUUGGUACAAGUAAAAGCAUGGUGGAAGAAUUCAAGAAAAAGAUGAUGAGAGACUUUGAGAUGAGUGACUUGGGUCAAAUGAAAUACUUUCUUGGCAUCCAAGUCAAACAAAGCCCGGGAAGAAUUUUUUUAUCUCAAGAGAAGUAUAUUGAUGAUCUUCUAGAAAAAUUCAGCAUGAACCAAUGCAAGCUAGUCUCUACUCCAAUGGGGCCGAAUGAAAAAUUCCAAGUCAAUGAUGAUGCUGAAAAAGUAGAUGCUACACUCUACCGAAAGUUAAUUGGUUCACUCAUCUACCUCAACACAAGGCCGGAUAUCACUCAAUCAGUGAGUUUACUUUCCAGGUUCAUGAAUGAACCAAGCAAGAAUCACUUUACGGCUGCAAAAAGAAUUUUGAGAUACCUUAAAGGUACAAAAAAUCAAGGCAUUGAGUUCAAAAAGGAAAAUAACUUCAACCUUGUUGGCUACACUGACAGUGAUUGGGCAGGCUCACUUGUUGACCGCAAAAGUACAUCGGGCUACAUCUUUUGUCUUGGAACAAAUAUUAUUUCAUGGAGUUCGAGAAAGCAAAGGUCUAUAGCACUAUCUUCUGCAGAAGCGGAAUACAUUGCAGCUGCGGAUGCCGUUUGUGAAGUAGUUUGGCUUAGAAGAAUUCUAAACGACUUGAUGUUUGAACAACAAGAGCCAACAACAAUACAUUGCGACAAUAUGUCAGCAAUUGCUAUGACAAAAAAUCCAAUUUUUCAUGCCAGAUCGAAGCAUAUUGAACUACGUCAUCACUUCAUUCGAGAUUUGGUAAGUCGAGAAGAAAUUUGCAUGGAAUUUAUCAACACAAAUGAUCAGCCAGCAGACAUUUUAACAAAGGCAGUCACAUUUGACAAGUUCGACAAGAUCAAGGAAAAACUCAAGAUUACAAAUUAAGAGGGGGUGUUAAAUGUGGCAUUAAUUUGUAAUCUUAGGAAAUAAAUAAGGUUACAUGCACUUGAAGAAAAUGUAUCAGGAAAAUACAUGAUGCACUUGAAGAAAAUGUAUCAGGAAAAUACAUGAUGCAAAUUCAUGAAUUAUUAGGUGUCCAUUUAUAUUCCCAUGUCUCUAGAGUUAUCCAUGUGGUCCUAUAAAUAGAGGUCAUUUUUGUAGUCUCAUUGUAAGAAAAAAAGAAGAAGAAAACAUUAUUGAGUGUGCUGUAGCAACUCAAAAACUAUCAAUAAAAAUUCAAGUUUUUCUUCAACACUUCGUUUCCGCACUAACAUGAACUUCGCAUGUAGCAAAUGCCAUAGCACGGUAUUCAGCUUCUGCUGAAGAUUUGGAAACUGUUCUUUGCUUCUUAGACUUCUAGGAUAUUAAAGCAUUUCCUGAAAAAGAACAAUAUCUAGUUAUAGACCUCCUUAAAUCAGGGCAACUUGCCAAUCUGAAUAUGAAAAGAUCUUCAAUCGUAAGUCAUUUUCUUUAGGGAAGAAAAUCCUCUGUCCUGGCAUGCUCUUGAUAUAUCUCAAUACCCUAUAAGCUGCAUUCAAAUGAGGUUCCCUUGGUUGGUUUAUAAACUGACUUAACACUUGAACCACAUAACUCAAAUCAGGCCUAGUAAUGGUUAAGUAUAAUAAUCGUCCCACCAGCCUCCUGUAGAUUGAUGCAUCAUUCAAUAAUUCUCCACUCUCUUUGUCCAGUUUAAUGUUCAGCUCCGUUGGUGUGUUUGCUGGUUUAGCACUACUGAAGCCAGCAUCUUCUAAAAUGUCUAUGGCAAAUAUUUUUUGACACAAAGAAAUUCCUUUCUUAGACCGAGUCACCUCCAGUCCUAGGAUAUAUUUCAAUACUCCUAAAUCCUUUAUCUUGAAUUUCAUAUCAAGAGAAGCCUUCAAAUCAUUCAUGCCUUGCAAAUCAUUUCCUGUCAAGACAAUGUCAUCCACAUAUACUAGAAGAGCAACAAAAGAGCCAUUUCUAUUUCUGGUAAAGAAUGGAAAAUCUGAGAACUUAGUGAACCAUUGCCUUAAGGCUUUUUUUAAGCCGUAUAAAGACUUGUUGAGCCAGCAUACCAUAUUGUGCCCUUUGCCGAAUUUUCAUGUAUAUUUUCUCAUUUAAAUCACUGUGUAAAAAAACAUUGUUGACAUCCAAUUGUAAGAUAUUCCAAACCAUAGCAGCAGCUAUAGCCAAUAAAACUCUCACAGAUGUAAGCUUCGCCAUAAGAGAAAAAGUUUCGAGAUAAUCAAAACCUUCCUUUUGAGUAUAGCCUUUAGCCACUAAUCUGGCUUUAUACCUUUCCAGGGACCCAUCAGCUUUCAAUUUUACUUUGAAUACCCAUUUACAGUCAAUAGGAAUUUUUCCAUGAGGUAAACUAGUGAUCGUCCAUUUGUGUUUAUCCUCAAGUGCCUUAAUUUCCUUAGUUAUUGCUUCACACCAGUUAGGGUCCUUGACAGCUUGAUCAAAAGACCGAGGCUCAGUCAUAUUUGUGAUAGUAAAAACAUAUGCUCGAUGGGAAGAUGAGAGCCUAUCAUAAGCAAGAUAAUUUUGGAUAUCACAGCUGGAGCUUAAGCUUGAAAGGACUUUACUUAUGGACUGAUCAGAUCUGGUAAGAGAGUUUUGAGCCAAAUGACAAUGAUAUUGCUGAAGAUAAGAAGGGGUUUUUUAAUUCUUGUGGAUCUUCUCAGAGGAGGAUUUAUGUUCUAUGUAGUUGUAUGAUUUUUUGGUGGAUAGAGAUGGCAAUUUAAACCAUUAAAAUUGAAAAUUGCGGUUAACUGAACUGAAUGAGGCGAAAAAACCGAACCGAUGGUGUAAUAGGACGGAUGUGGUAUUUGAUCUUAAUGAAUUGGUUCGUGGCAGUGCAGGUAUGGUAUUUAUGCAGUGGAACUGAUUACCCACUUAAAAAAUCAUUCUUUUAUUAGGGAUGACAAGGUUUAGUGAGGAGGAAGUUGACGAAGAUGUACAUUUUUUUAUUUAAAUCUUAGUUAAAUCCAUUCUGGAUUAGGUAGUAUCGUUGUAUUCUCUACUUACAUUUCUUAUUCACUAUAUAGGAAUCAAUUUUGAGUGCUGACCUAUACUAAUAAAAGUUGUGGGAAAGAAUGAAGAUUGAAUAUGAUUUAAGGUUGAAGCUUUUGAAUUAUUGAGCAUGAAUCAAAUAACUACAAUGCACAAGAAUUAAGAAUGAAUGAAAAGUUUAGUAUUGUUAUAUUCAUAAUAUUGUUUGUUAAAUUUUUAUUUUGCAAUUAGAAUUUGGGAUAAUGUUUGCAUUUUUGUUUGGAAUAUUGUGUUUUUAUUUUCAUUGGCUCUCUUUUCAUAAAUUGUUUUAUAUCAAUUUGACGGAUGAACCUAUAUAAAAUAAUUUAUUUUCGAGGUUAUUAAUCUAACUGAACCGAUUUACAUGGUUAUGGUACGGUUAUGGUAAGGCAAAAAAUUUGACGGUUCAGUGAUGGUUUUGGCUGAACCAAAUCAAAACCUAACCGUUGCCGUCCUUACUGGUAGAAGGAUAGUGGUAUUUUGGAGAUCUGGUGAUUGGUGAUCUGGUAAAGUACAUGGUGAAAUAGUUUCAGCUAUAGAAGACACAUGGGAAGGAAAUAUGGGAAAUGAAGACUCUGGAAUUGGAUUGGGUAAAACAAAUGGACAUCCCUACUGGUCGAAGGAUAGUGGUAUUUUGGAAAUCUGGUGAUUGGUGAUCUGGUAAAGUACAUGGUGAAACAUUUUCAGCUAUAGGAGACACAUGGGAAGGAAAUAUGGGAAAGGAAGACUCUGGAAUUGGAUUGGGUAAAACAAAUGGAUUAUUAUGAUUUAAAGGAAAUUGUUUGUAUGGAAAGAUGUUUUCAUAGAAUAUGACAUUUCUUGAAAUGAAUAUAGCCUUUGAUAGAAUAUGGAUAGCCAAGAAAGAUACAUUUAGUUGCUCUAGAAUCAAAUUUUGAUCGAUUUUUAGUGAGCGUGUAAGCAAAAUAUAAGCAAUUAAAAAUCCUGAAAUGAGUAUAGUCUAGUUUUUGGGAGAAAAGAACUUCAAAGGGAGAUUUUCCAUGAAGUAAGGGAGUGGGAAGUUUGUUAAAAAGGUUGAAUUCCAACCUUAAGGCCCCCACCGCCCCACCCCUGGAGUAUCGUGAGGGAGGUAAAUCGUUGAAUAUGCCUCAGUAGGCCAGGGAACAAGAGCUUGCUGUACACUGGUGCCUACAAAGAGUCCAAUUCCAUAUCUCAGGAAUUGAAGCCUCACACUGCAGCUGCCAGCAAGGCUAAGACUACCUCACUCCUGUCCUUUGCACCACUGGGAUAUGCCAUGGGGGCAAGGGAGUGGAAAGUCUGUUGAUUAUGUAAGUGGCAGUUUGUAUACAUUCAUCCCAGAAACUAAGGGGUAAAUUAGAUUGAAAACAAAUGACUCUAGCAACAUUUAAUAGAUGUUGGUGCUUUCUUUCGACUACUCUAUUUUGUUAAGGUGACUCAACACAAGUCUUUUGAUGUAUAACACCCUUAGACGUAAAAAAAUCUCUAAGGUGAAAUUUUGGACCAUUAUACGAAUGAAUGCACUUUAUCUUGAGAUUAAAUUGUGUCUCAAUUAAAGUGAAGAAAGUUGGAACGACAGAUUGCGUUUGAUUUUUAGAAUUUAGUAAUCAAGUCCAUGUACAUCGAGUAAAGUCAUCGACAAGAGUUAGAAAGUAUUUUGAACCAUCAAUAGCAGUAGUAGAUAAAGGACCCCAUAGAUCAGCAUGUAUUAGAUCAAAUGGGGUUGAACUAUUUAUUUCACUGGAAACAUAGGGUAAUCUGUGUAAUUUAGCAGUAGGGCAAACAUCACACUGAUGUAUAGUAUUUACAUUCAAAUCUAAAAUGGUAGAUUGCAACAUUGUAGGCGCUGCAAAGAUGGAUGCCCUAACCUAAGAUGCCACAAAUUAGAAACUGUGGAUGUUAUAGAAUUGGCAAAGUGUUUGUGUUGUGUAGGAGUGAUGUUCAGCAUAUAGAACAGGCCGUUUCUCUCUUUAGCCAGACCAAUCAUCUUCUAUAAACGUAGGUCCUGUAUAAAGCACACACCAGACAAUAAGAUGAGAUUACAUCUAACUAUUUUAAGCAACUGAUUGAAAUUAGAUUGAAUGCAAAAGACGGCACGCAUAGAACAUUCUUCAAAAUGAUAAGAGUCUGAAAGUCUAAUUGAUCCAACAUGUGUAACCUCUGUUAAAGUACCAUUUGGAAGCUUAACAAACCGAGAUGCUGAAGCUGUGAUUUCAGUGAGUGAAUGGACUGAACACACCAUGUGAUCUGUAGCACCGGUGUCUAAAAUCCAUUUAUAAUUCAUAUUCAAAGUUUCAGGACUUUCAAAUGACUUAGAUAUUGACUUACACGAAAAACAUUGACUAAAUACUGAUGCAUUGUGGAGGCAAAUAACUUGAUAUACCUGCCAGAUUUGCUAAGGCAUGCUUCUGGGAACCAGAGAUGCUUGCAUUCUGAAGGUUAAUAGUACGGGUACUUGUGAAUGGCAAAGACGUUUCAUCGAUAGGUUAAAUCAAAGCCAGCAGCUAUUCAUAUUGAUCUUUAGUGAAGGGGAAUUUUGAAAGAUCAGUGGUGAUAUUAGGAACAAAUUCUACUUGAUUUGUAACUCCAUGGACCACAGGAUUCUUGUUCUUGAACUUAUAUCUUGGUGGAUAUCCGUGUACUUUGUAGCAUUUGUCAAUUUUGUGGCCAAGAAGACCAUGGUGGCUGCACUGACGACACUCCUUUUUAUUGUUCGGUCCAGUGUAGUUGUUUAUUCCCUCGUUAGUAUAUUGAUUCCUAUUGAAAUUUUUAGCAACCAUAGCUACGGAAUCUAGAUUAUGUGUGAUUCUAGCAGUUAUUUCUCUUUGCUUUUCCUCUUGUGCAACUAGAGAGAAAACUUUGUUAAUUGCUGGUAAUGGAUCAAUCAAUAGUAUUUGACCUCGAGUCUGAGAGUAACUCUCAUUCAGCCCCAUCAGAAAUUACAUGAUAUAAUCCUCCUGCUGAAACUUCAUCAAGGAGGCUGGAACACGUCUAUAACGUCCAAGUUCAUCCCAAAAACGUCUUCAGUUUGGUGAAUUAGGCACUUACUGAACACUGAUUUUGUGUUAAAGAGGCGAUCCCCUUCCUCAGUUGAAAGAUACGAGGUCCAUUUGUUUUUGAAAACCUCUUUAAGUUAUGGCAAAAAAAACUUCACUUCCUUCUCACAAUCCUCAACAUGGUGUAAUAGCUUACAACUCCAAAGCCAGAAGAGACAAAAAAUGAACCAUUGGAGAUACAAGACCUAGACAAAAAUGAGAUCAAGAUGAUUACAUAUGCGAGGGUCACAUUUAACAUGCAAUGUCUCAUAAUUCUCUUUUUGAUCAGUACCACAAGAAGAAAAUCGCCAAGGAAAUAUGGGAAGCAUUGGAAGCCAAAUGCAUGUUGGAGGAUAUUACAAGUAAGAAAUUAAUUGUAUCUAAUUCUUUCAAUAUCGAAUGGUGGACAACGUGAAGAUAAUUGAGCAAUUUCAUAAAACCACUCAUAUACAUAACCAAUUUCUUCAAUACCACAUCAAUAUGGAUGUGUCCAUUGACAAACUACCUGCAUCUUGGAAAGAUUAUAAUAGAAGUCUAAAACACCAUAAAUAAGAUAUCCCUAUUGAAGUAUUGGGUCGUAAUCUCUGAAUGGAGAAAGAGUUCAAAAUGAUUAAUUUUUUAGGAGCAUAGUGUCCAAUCUUCUAAAGUUCAUGUGGUUCAGGAUAAGGAAGGAUCGAUGAAAAGAAGAUGAUGCAAAUUAACAAAACAACAAAAACAACAUGAAGAGGAAGCACGAUUCAAAAGACGAGGGUUCCAAGAAACAGAGUAGGUCUUGUUACAAUUGUAGCAAAAUGUGAAAGUGUCGCCAUUUGAAGAAGCAAGAUGACAUGGAUAACUUUGUAAUUUGAAUUUGUUUUAAGUAUGCUUUCAAGUUUGUUUUGAGAUUUUUGAAUAUGUAUUGCCAAAGAGUGGUAUUUUUUGGAAAAAUAUUUUUGUUUGUGUGCGUGUUUAUAAUUAAAUAAAUUAUUGUUAUAGGUUGAUUUAUUAUUUGAUUUCAUAUUUGCUUACGAGAUGCUUGAAGAUUACUUUGAUAUAAAUACGUUAGAAUAAGUAACUUGCUAUUAUAUUGAGCUAGUAUCAUACGUAUUUUCUAAUUUAUUAUUAUUAUUUUUUUUAAUGACAGGGGAACCCGUAGUCGCAAAGCACGCCAGCCUGGUAAACCACACUAGACAAGCCCUGUGCGAUAGUCUCGAUCGAGAAAGUAUUAGUAGAGAGAAUCGAACUCGUGACUAAAGACCACCGCACUCACUUACUCCACUACUCUGCCACCCAAUGAGGGGCAUGUAUUUUCUAAUUAUUAUCAUGAAUGUUUGCUAUAGUUAAUAAGGAAAUUUAAAGAUAUUUUUUGUCAAGUUACUUGUAAUAAUAUAUAUAUAUAUACAAAUUUUGAAAUAAGCUUCUAUACUUUUAAACAUGAAAUUAGUUUUGUGCUUAACUAGUAUACCAUAUAAUCUUCAUAUGAUAUAACAUCGAAUUGUUUAACAUAAGUGUCAGUAUAUAUCUUCCCCAAAGGCUUCGGUUUUGGAAAAGGAACUAGCAAAAUAAAUCCAUUGGUUUGGGACCUAGUUGAUCUUCAACGAAAUGUAAAACUCGAGUCCAAUAAAGUAAAGGAAAUUAAAUGGAUUGAUUAAUUCAAAGGUGUUGCAAAUCUCUAUUCUUCCAUUAAAAGAAUAAAAUAUUGAUUUGUCAAUUAAGUGAUUAAAUGUCCUUAUUAUAAUUGACAAAGUAGAUAUGACUUAACUAAAUGAUCUUGGUUUAAGUAAUUGAUUAUACAAGAUCAAUGGAUUGAAUUAGUCUAUGACUAUGGCAUGUUAAAAUUUACAUAAGGCCUUGACUCGUUAAAUGUCACGGGAUUGAGACGGGAAAUACAACUAAUCACCAAUGAUGAAAAGUCGAUCUAACACUUGAAACAUCAAGUUCUUAGGUUCAAAGAGUAAAGUAUUUCAAAUAGGUGAUCAUAGGAAAUAUUCAUUUUUUCCCAUGUAAGUGUGCUUAGUACACUUAACAAUAAGGGAAAAGAUCAGUUAUUGAGCUUUUAAUAGAUUUAAAAAAAGGUUGAACUCCAACCUUGAGGACCCCUACCGUCCCGUCCAUGGAGCAUCGUGAGGGAGGAAAAUCGCAGGAUAUGCCCUAGCAGGCCAGAGAACAAGAGAUUAUCCAUAUACUGGUGCCUACAAAAAGUCUAAUUUCAUAUCUCAGGAAUCGAACCCUCACACUGCGGCUGCCAGCAAGGCUGAGACUACCUCACUUCUGUACUUUGCACUACUGGAUUAUGCCCCCGAAGGGCACUUUUAAUAGAUUUAUAUAGAAUACUCUAGUUACGUUAGUAUUAUUGAUAAGUGUCAGAAUUUGGGUGUGAUCCAAUUUUUUUUUUUUCAAAGAUAAUUGUGAGUUCUAAUUAAAGUGCACAUUAAGAAUAAUCCUUUUUGGAAUGCUAUUAUGCAAUUCUAUUCAAGUUUACUUGACGAAUUCUAGUUGAAGUUUUACUUAGAAGUCCAAUUGGGAGUUUAAAUUUGUAUUGGACUUAAAUGGGAUAUUGGGAUGAAGAAAAUCAAGUUUUUGAAGUAAAGGACUGGAGAAUGGGCAUCACAAUGCCAAGAAGUUUUUGGUUCGGCGUCGAGGUGCACAUUGUCUGUUUCUCCCUAAGCGAUUUUUUCCUACUCUACUCCAUUUUGGACUCUCUCUUUUUUGCAUUCAACUUCAACUACAACUCUACUAUUAGGGUGUGGACAUUCACUACUAGUUAAAUAUAUAGUUGGCUCUUCAUUAUGACUUAGAAGAAGUUAUAAACAUCGUAAACACAAAUUUUUGUAUUCUUUCUCCAUAUUUCCAUUCUUUGCAAAUUAUCUUGUUUUUGCGUUAUAUUAAUCAAUUAUUUCAUAUUAUGGCUAUAAUAUCUUAUUUUUCUCCAACAAUUUGGUAUAAAAUUAAUCCGAAUUAUUUUCAUUUCACAAUAAACGGGUAUCAGAGUGUUUGGUGUUUAAAUUCUUGGGAAUAUUGAGGUUUUGAUCAAGUUAAUAGCUCAACUUGAUCUUUCAUCAUGGAAACAAUGAAGUAUGAUAUUCUGCUAUUAAAUCGCAAUACAAGAUUAUCUUUAUGACAAAUAAAGAUGGGAGCAGUAAUCGAUCAGAUGGAUUCGGAUGACGAAAGUUAUUAGAAUUUGACAAGAUGCCUACAACUUGAACUCCAGAGGAGAAACAUCAGAUGGACCGAAAGAUCCUAUCUUAUAUACAACUUCAUCUUUCAAAUAUUAUUCUUUGGGAUGUUUUGAAGGAGAAGUUAGCUACUGCAUUAUUGUUAAAAUCAGAACAAUUAUGCAUGACGAAAAGUCCUAUUAGCAAAUUGCAUUUGAAGCAACAUAUAUAUUCUCAUCAUAUGACAGAAGGUAUAUUUAUUGAGGAUCACCUAGCUAUUUUUAAGGAAAUUAUCGCUAAUUUGGAGACCUUGGAAGUCAAAUAUAAUGAAGAAAAUUUGUGAUUGAUUUUAUUGUGUUCAUUGUCCACUUCAUACAUGUCUUUUAGAGACACAAUUUUAUAUAAUUGUGAUAUUCUGACCAUCAAAGAACUCUAUGAUGUUCUAUAUUCAGAGGAGAAGAUGAAGUAUCUUGUUGCAUUUGAGAGUCUUUGAGAUGGCUUCAUUGUUGAUGGUGGUCAUUCAAAGGAUAAGUCAAAAAUCUAACUUCAAAUUUUAUAAUUAUUACAAAAAAGGGGGGCACUAGAUAAAUGAUUGUUACAAGUUGUAGAAUAAAUCAAAAUUGACUGCAAAUAAACAAUCAGAAAUUUUAGGAAAAACAAGUAUUGCAAAAAAAAUCCUAACAAUGAUGGAGAGCUUUUACUUAUGUCCAACUAUAACUCCAAAUUUGACAAGGCUUGGAUUUUUUAUGCUGCUUGCACUUUUUAUAUGACUCCUAAUCGAGAUUUAUUCUCAACAUAUGAAGAAGUUUUAAAAGGUAUUGUAAUGAUAGGUAAUAAUACACAUUGUCAAAUAGCUUGUAUUUGUCGAAUUAAAAUAAAGAUGUUUGAUGGGAAGGUUAGAACACUUAAUGCAGUGAGGUGCGUUCCAGAUUCGAAGAAAAAUCUUAUCUCUUCAAGUACUUUUGAUUCAAAAGAGUACAAUUAUAUUGUUAAAGGUGGAGUCCUGAAAGUUAGUAAAUCAGCAUGUGUUUUGUUAAAGGGAUAUAGAAAAUUCCAUUUAUAUAUCUUGCAGUGUUAUAAAGAAUUUUUGAGCAAUCAGCAUAUUUUAAGAACUCAAGUGGAUUUGGAGUUGGAUUCUAUAUUGUUGGAGCCUAAUUUUAGGGAUUUUUAUUUUUAUUUAUUUAUUUUUUUUUUUGUAAAAAAGAAUACAUCUCAGUAAAUUUAGAAGUUAUAGGUAAAUCCGGCUUACCACCAUCAUCGAUGGUGUCAUUGUAUUUAGUUGCUUGUAAUAAACCUAUUUUUGGCCAUAAUAUUUCACAUAGAUACAAUUAUGCUGAUUUAGUUGAUAGUUUGAAUGUGAUUAAAGGUGUUGAUUCUAGCCAAGAUCCUUCUUUUAAUGUAUUCAGUUGUAAUUCUAUUAUAGGGCUUGUUUCAACUUUGUUUGGUGGUCAUUAGAUCACUUUUUCCUUUAAUUGAGGUAGUAGAGGUGGAGAAUGUUUCGGUUGAAUUUUUUUAUGGAUAAGUUCGUUUGUGUCCUUUAGUGAAGAUUUCAAGUUUUUUUUCCAUGUAGUGGAAUUUGUCUUCAAGUGGAGAAUUUUUUCUUUUGAAGUUUUAUUCAUUUUAGUGGAAUUCGUGUCAAGGUAGAGAUUGUUAGAAUUUGGUUGUGACCUGAAUUCUUUGUUGAAGAUAAUUGAAAGUUAUAAUUAAAGUGCACAUUAGGAAAAAUUCUAUUUGGACUGUUAUUGUGGAAUUCUAUUCAAGUUUACUUGGCGAGUUCUAGUUGAAGUUCUACUUGGUAGCCCAUUAGGAAUUGAAAUUUGUGUUAAACUUGAAUAGAAUAUUGUGAUGAAGAAAAUCAAGUUUUUGAGGUAAAGGACCUGAGAGUGGAAACCACAGCACCACGACGCUACCUACUCUGUUUCGUCCAGUGUGAUUUUUCUUUCUCUACUCCAUUUUGCAUUCUACUUCAACCACAACUCUACUAUUAGGUUUUGGACGUGCCCCUAUUUAUUCUUUAUAUAUAGUUAGCUUUUCAUUAUGAUUUAGAAGAAGUUAGAAACAUUGUAAACACAAAUCUUUGUAUUAUUUUUUCAUAUUAUAAUAAAAUUUCCAUUCUCUACAAAUUAUUUUGUUCUUGUGAUUAAUUACUUCAUAUUAUGGCUACAAUCUCUUAUUUUCCCCAACAGUUUGGUAUUGGAUUAAUCCGGUAUCAUCUUCGUUUGAUAACAAUAAGUCUAUCUCCAUGAGCGUCGAUGAUGGUUUAUCUCCAAAGUGUCUCGACUCGCUACUUAAGACAUUCUUGAAAAUUAAGGAUAUGGGACACGUGGAGUAUUCACAUGUUGAUUUAUAUGAACACGGGAGGAUAUGAAACUUGUAUAUGAAGUUUUUCGCUUAGCCAUAUAGGGUUUUUGGUUCAAAGCUUGUCUACCAUAUCGCUUUGGUUAAUAUUGUUAGAGUUGGUGACUCAAAUUGGAAAGGAAAUCUUGAAGAUGCGUGAUUGAUUUGGAGAAUCAAAUAGUAUUUGAAAAAUAAAGAAACAAAGUUUUUGUCUCGUUUUUUUUUUCUUUUUCACGUUUAACCUAGAAUUCUUACCUUUUUAUGACUCUUUUAGUGCUACACUCUUGUGGUAUAAAUAUGAGUCUCAUCUUUUAGUAUUGUUGAAACAUCAUUACUGUCCAGUUGUAAUUCUCUUCAUAUUAAUAAAAUUCGUCGUUCCUAUGCUUAAUUCAUCUUUUACUUUAAUCUUGUUCGUGGUAUUUUGCAAUCUUGUAUUAUACUUCAAAUUGGUGUCCAUUAAAUCUCAAUUCUUGCGUUUCAUUUCCACCCGGUCCCAACAAGUGAUAUCAGAGCGAGGUUGUUGGUGGAUUUCUGGCCUGAAACUAAUCAAAAAUUGGUCUGAAAAUUACCAGAAAAUCAGAAAAUGAAUCUGUCCAGUUUUUUUCGAUUUUCUACUGGAUCUAUUUGUGCAUUUUUCGAUAAAACUACUUACCUUUUGGAGAAACGAACACCACCAGUGGACUCAGCAAGCAGAGACGGUCCAGAAAGGGUCACAGGUCGUCGGCGCGUUUCUGGUUAGUCGCCGGCGGUGGGAACUUUGACGAGAGAAUGGUGGGGCGUGCGGUGAUUUUCGACGAUGGUGUCUUCAGGCAGUUUUCUCCGAACGACGAGACAGACCUUGUGGUGGUGUCCAAUUUCAGUUUUGGGCAAAAUUGUGGUUCUGGACUGUUUUGCCCCUUGUACGUUCCGAAGUUUUCAGUUUUGGAUGUUGCAAGUUGCAGGCUCUUUGUGAUUUGGUUGAGAUUUUUCAAGAACGAAUUCGUUGAAGUAUGAAAUUCUGCUAUUGGAUCACAAUACAAGAUUUUCGCUGUGGUAAGUAAAGGUGAGAGCUGUGUUGACGCAGAUGGAUCUUGAUGAUGCUUUGCUGGGUUUUGAUAGGAUGUCAGCAAACUUGUCUAUGGAGGAGAAACAACGAAAGGAUCGAAAGGUUUUAGCGCAAGUCCAACUUCAUUUAUCCAACAAUUUGCUGCAAGAUGUUUUGAAGGAGAAGACAGCGGCUGCUUUGUGGCUCAAGCUGGAGCAGUUGUGCAUGACAAAGAGUUUGACGAGCAAACUGACUCUAAAGCAAAGAUUGUAUUCUCAUCGUAUGGUGGAAGGAGGGUCACUAUAGGACCACCUUGCUGUGUUCAAGGAGAUCGUUGCAGAUUUGGAGACGUUGGUGGUAAAAUAUGAUGAAGAGGAUCUAGCCUUUGUCCUAUUGUGUUCGCUACCCAAUUCUUUUUCGUCUUUUCGUGAUACUAUAUUGUAUCAUCGUGACACAUUGUCCAUUGAGGAGGUAUACGACGCCCUAUUCUCAAAAGAGAAGAUGGAGUUAUUGGUUGGAGAUCCUACAUCUAGGAGUGGGAAUGCUCUGGUUACUCAUGUUGAUCGACGGAAGGGUAGAUCGAAGGUGAGGUACAACAAUGUGUAAUGUUAUUACUGCAAGAGGAAAGGACACAUCAAGAAAGAUUGCGACAAGUUGCAGGGUAAAGGUGAUUUACAUGUAAAUCAUGUGGGACAAUCAGGUAAUUCAAACGAGACUAAUAUUGCUGAAAAUUUUUGUGAUGAUGGAGAUGUGAUGUUGGCUGUAUCUAACAGGGAAUCUAAACCUGAGGAGUGGAUUUUGGAUUCUGCUUGUUCGUAUCAUAUAUGUCCCAAUAGGGCUUUGUUUCAAACAUAUGAGACGGUGAAGCAAGGUGGGGUUGUCAUGGAAAACAACCAAUCUUGCUAGGUUGCAGGAAUCGGUCGGGUCAGAUUGAGGCUACAGGAUGGAACAGUGAGGACACUUGAUCAGGUUCGUCAUGUUCCAGACUUGACAAAGAAUCUCAUAUCACUGAGUACCUGGGAUGAAAAAAGGUACAAAUUUUCUGGUGGAGGUAGAGUCUUGAAGGUUUGAAGGGGUGUCUGGGUUGUACUGGAGGGACGGAGGAAAUCCCAGUGUACAUCUUGCAGGGGAGCACAGAACCAGUUCAGAGACAUUUGGACAAGUUCAGUACCGUGGUGGACAUUCAAUUUGGUACAGUACCUCUCGGGUUUGGCUCUGAGUUAGUUAAGAACUUUGCUCAAGGGAAUAUUGGUGAUUCUGCUUUGCCACCAAUUUUAGCGGGUACACUGUGUUCUUGUAAUGCCAAUGGACUCAUGGAGCGUAGGUAUAGUUUUGGAGAUGUCUAUAGUGCUUUAGAAAUCAUUGAAGGUGACAAUAUUGGCAAGGGACCUUCUGAUUGUGCAUUUGGUGUGGUUUCUGCUACAGGGUGUGCUUCGACCCUGUCCAGUGAUUGUUAAUUCCAAGAGGAAUUUUGAGAACCCAAGUUUUGGGUUCGGGUGUCGCUUGUGGAAGCUGGGCGGGGUAAUGUGUUAUCGUGGAGAGUUUUGGUUACUGUGUUGAAGAGAUUGGUUAUUCUGAUGCAAAUGGAUUAUUUCUCAAGGUGGAGAAAUUUUGGAGUUUCGUUCGUUGCACCGAAAUUUGAGUCAAGGUGGAGAUUGUUAGAGUUGGUGAUUCAAAUUGGAAAGGAAAUCUUGAAGAUGCGUGAUGGAUUUGGAGAAUCAAAUAGUAUCCGAAAAAUAAGGAAACAAAGUCCUUGUCUCGUUUUUUUCCCGUUGAACCUAUAAUUCUUACCUUUUUAGGACUCUUUUAGAGCUAGACUCUUGUGGUAUAAAUAUGAGCCUCCUCUUUCAGUAUUGUUGAAGCAUCAUUGCUGUCCAAUUGUAAUUCUCUCCAUAUUAAUAAAAUUCAUCGUUCCUCUGCUUAAUUCAUCUUUUACUUUAAUCUUGUUCGUGGUAUUUUGCGAUCCUGUAUUAUACUUCAAAUUGGUGUCCAUUAAAUCUCAAUUCUUGCGUUUCGUUUCCACCCGGUCCCAACAAAUAUUUGCAACAACUUCACUACGUGAAGGUUGAAGUCCAAAAGCACCUUCGUCUAUGCAUAAAGUUUGUGAUGUCUAUAUGGUAGAUUGUAAAACUAUCACUCAUUUUGGAAAUUGUAGAGAAUUGUUGGAAUAAUUUCCAAAAAAAUGUCGUUUAGACAUUGGUAGUUUAAAUCAAGGAAAUACUUCAAGAAGCGUUGGAUCAAGAUAGGACAAGAACAAGAGAUGACCAAACGGACCAAAACUUGCACUAGUUUGCAACAUAAAUUGGCGCAAGUACGCCCAAGGCUAGUGCACCUACGCUAGUUGAGUAAUUGAAGCACAGGUACUCUGCCUUGUUGAUGCAAGUGACCUGUUGGCUAGUGCACCCGCGCUGCCAAGCGACAACAAUGGUGUCUUUUCGUUCCUAACUGAUGUUUGAUAGUUAGAAUUCAAUUUUUUUUCAGUUUGUAUUGAUGUAGUUCAAACUCUAAUAAUUAUCUUGAAGUGUUGUAACUCUUGGGAAGAUGUGUAAAAUAAUUUUAAUUCGUUUUUACUCUACCAUUUUCUACACUUUCUUGCAUCCAAAAUACCAACUUUAGUGCAUUCUUAUCUUCUUGAGUAUUGUUUGUAUUUAUCAUACUGCAGAUAUAAAGUGGAAAUUUUGAGUGGACUUUCCAUUGUUCGUGUUGUCUUCGUGAGAAAUCCCAAACAACACUAAAGGGCUUCAUUAUAUCCUAUAGACGUAUUUGCAUUCCAUGUGCAUCAUAGAUUGGUGGAAACAAAUAUCAUCUUAAGGAAAGAGAUAUUUGUUAUAUGCCUUGAAGCCGGUAUUGUUUUAAGUUCGAGUUUUUGCGAUAUUCCAACAUCUAGUUUCGUCUAAUUGUCAUCUCUAAACUGAUCUCACCUACACCUUCGAACCUCGUUUCAGUAAUCUACCUAUAUAUAUUCAUCUAAUUCAAUCCGUCAAUUUGUUAAAAUUUGGAUGAUCGAAAAGGUCUUACAGAUGUUUUAAAUUGACCAGCUUCCCUAGUUCUGCUGGAAUGGUCCCGUUUAACCUGUUACUCCCCAAGCCCCUGAAAGUUGAAUAGAUUUUCAAAAUUACAAUUAGAAUUUCGGGAAAAUAUAUCCACUAUCAAACAAAACAUUCAUGGUGUUUGCUUGUUUAUGUAGGAGUGACCAUAUGUAGAGAGAGAGAUCUAUGGGUCAGUUGAUAUGUAGAGGGGGAGAUAGCUAGAUAGGAACUCACAAAUACGUAGUAAUGUUUCCCAGGAAUUUCGGUAUGGGUCCAAAUAGGCGGUUCACCAAAAGACUUCUAUAUCACACGUACUUUUUCGAUAUAACAAAGGAUGUAGACAUUACAUCAUUGCCAAAACUCAAUUAAAAGCUACAGGCAAGGCUCACAUGGACUCCAAUUUGGUUGCUUCCCAUUCCAUGGGUAUUGUACCAUUAAGGUAGUUGCCACUAAGAUCUCUGUAGCCAAUAGAUUCAGAGUGAGAUCAAUGUGGCCAAUAAAUUGUCUCAACCUUUCGAAGCAAAAAGCUGAGUAGAUUUAAUAAAUUGAAAAUAAACUUGGAACAUCUUGCUACAUUGUCUUGAGGUAUGGUAACUUUGCCUGUGAGGGCGGAAGGACACCUGCCAAAUACUGUCCAUUUAGAAAUCUGUUUGUAAAGAAAAGCGACAAUCUUUAGCAUACUCUGAAUUGAAAAGUUUUCAUCUAAAUUUUACAAGUGCGACAAUUAAAAUUUCUUGAGAAGUGAAAGAAACAAAGCCAAAAAAAAAAAAAUAAUAAUAAAAUAAAUAAAUAAAUCAUUCCGAAGGGAUUUUGAAGGAAACAAUACAAUAUAUUAAGCCCAUGUUUGGUGGGGGAUUAUUUUUAGCAAAUUUUGAUAAAAGUUGAUGAAAUGUAUAGUUGAAAAGUUUUGGGUCUAUAAAAUAUGAGGCUAAAAUUAAUUGUUGAUGUUUAUUUAGAUUAAGAUCUAUAUUUUAGUCCUAGGAAAUAGGGGCUAAAUGUAUAGAGUGUUUCAAGUAAAACAACUUGUUAGAGUGGCUUCUAGAACACACUACAAACGUUAUACGAUUUCAUUUUCAACUCUAACUUAACAAUCAAGAAUGUAACUUGAAAACAUGGUGAAAUAAAGUUGUAUGCUUGACUGAAUGGAAAAAAAGAACUAUAUUUAUUUUUUAUUUUUUUAUGGUUAUAAUACUAACACAGCUUAUUGCAGAAACUUCUAUACAUAUGUUAAGUGCAAAUCGUGGUGAAAGAUGAUGAAGAUAGAGAGUCUAGCAAUAUAAAAUGAAUAAUGCUAUUUAGCACCACUGGUGUUAUAAUACCAGUUUUGGUGACACAAAGUGUCAUUAAAUGAGUCACUACCUUUCAUUUAGCCCAUUGCAUGGCGACAGUUAUACUGGUCUUCGAUGACAUUAUUCAUAUGAAAUAAGUCAUAAAGGUCAAGUUUGAUUACUAGGCACCAUAAGUUCUAUUGAGGUCUAAGCAUGAAAAAAGUACAAUAAUUCCCACUUAAAAUACCAUUUUAAGAAUCGACAAACAGAUUUCCAACCAUUAUAUGGUAUUCCAUGCCUCAAAAUCAAAUACUGAAAACCCCAUAUUUAGCUGCUUGAAGGAUCAAUAGAAGCAGAAUAUAUUUUCUGUGAUUCCUGAUUCCUUGCAACGUAAUAGCACAAAUGGCUAUUUCGAAAUCAGUUUCAAACUAAUGAUAAAGAUGAUAAGUUUUCAGCAAGAAAACCUACAUUAAUUUUACGUGGCACACACCACCAGGGAAAUUACAAUGGCAGAUGAUGGAAUUGCUGUACCAUUGAAUAUCUUCUCGUUUUGGUGUAUUCCAGUUUGAGUUAUUAUCACAAGGAUUCAGGUUGAAGUCCCAGUCCUUUUUGCCCAACUGAUCAGCUAUUUCACGAAGAGCAUUCUCUGCAAAAAUCAGAACUCUAUUCUAAAAUAUAAAUGUGAUCGGAUUCAUGUUGAUCAAAGUGAACUUUUAAGGAGUUUAAUGGAAGGCUAAAAAGUGUAGUCCCUAAUGAGCUAAACACGUGAAUGGAAAAGAAAUAAAUGGUUUACAUGUGCAAUGACUAGCGAUCGUGGCAUAACACAUUGGAAAAAAUAGAGAUAUACAAAACUACUACAGCCAAUUAUCUUUGAUCAUCUAGUUGUUUUGCCUCUUAUAUUAGAUGUAAUAAAAUAAAUAGACCAGAGUGGUUCGUGGUCUCAAAAUGAAAGUUAUUAUUAUCAUUUUUACUUUAAAAUAGCACAGAAGGUGUUUUAAGGCCACUAUGUUUGCAUCUUCGUAAUCAAAUUAGUCUUGUGGGUAGUCCGUGUUUGUAUUAAAUCUAUUCCCAUUUUCAGGUAUUUCCAUUUUUUGCCAAUUUCUUGGGUAAAAUCUCCCACCUAUCUUAAAGAUAAAGAAAGCUUUCUUGGAUACUUCUUGCACUAAAAAUGAAGGACGAUCCAAUUUAUUAACUAUGAAGCACUAAUAUUUCUUCGAAGCAUAAAACAACUAAAAAAUUAGUAAAAAUGAAUGAAAACCGCUUCAGGCUACUUGUUUUCAAUAAUCUCUGGUACAUAACUGAUAAAUUUACUAAAGAAGAAGUAUUUCAUCAUCAUCUACUAACUUUAUCCUUAUUGCAUAUCUAACUAUAUAAUUGUUGUGCUUGUUAAUAUAUUCAAAAUGUGUUGGAUAAUUGCCUCAGAAGUCAAAAGUUGGAGUACUUCUAUUGCAAAUAAUAAAAGGUAAUAAUUGUAUGGAAGACUUCUAGUUAAAGUUGAGAGAAAAAUCCUCGCAGAAUUUGAUUUCCAAUUUUACAUCCGCUUUUGAAGUCUUGCAUAUAAAGGAGUCCUUGUUUGAGUUGAAAUUGAACUCUUUUACUUAAUUAUCGAUCCUACAAAUAGUGGAUGUAUUUAUUAUUUCAUGGGUGUGGCCUGAGAGUUGAUCCGAGAGAUAAAUAUUGUGAGCCUAAUAUCUUGAGAGUUUUCAUAUAAAGAGUAGAAAAGUGGGUAUGGUAAAGCUCAAGAUUAUUUUUCUUUGUAAUACUUAAGAAUUGGGUUGGUGAGUAAAAUUUUAUAUGGUUGUAACAAUUUUCAUAUAGUGAAAGGCUUUGAAGGUCUGCUAGUGAUACAAAUAGAUUAGUAAAUGACAUAUCUAUUCAAUUAAAUGGAUAUCGACAUUUUACCUAGAUAUUUAUUGUGGUGCGGCAAAAAAAUAUCAUGUCAAUUUUAUCAAUGCUAUGCCCGCAAUAACAUGACCCUGAUCAUUUAUUUUACUUUCUUUCAUCAAAAGACAUUUAUUUCGGGACAUCAUAAAUAUUUUCUAUUUCCUCCCUGGCAAAAGAUAAACAUAAGUGCAUUAACUUUCUAGGUCCUUAAUGGAAACUUGGGAAUUAGACCUUCAACAUGGGCCACCUAAUCUGAAUAUUCAAAUAAAUAUUUCUUUCAUUAUCAUGUCUAUGCACCUCACAGUACAAUUGACUCCUCCGUAUUCCAUUUCAUCAGCAUUAAUCACUUGUUUAAUGCAUGUUCAUCUUCUUUUUCUGAACGAGUGAACCUAAAUCAGAUAAAGAUAACUGCAUGAGCACAGGGCUAACCUGUAGAAUUUUCUAUCAGGCUGUCUUUUAGUAACCUGAAAAUGAAAUCAGAGACUUAGCAAAGACUUGCUAGGUUAGUCCAUCGCGAAGUCUUUUUCAUCUGUAUUUACAUUAAGAUAAAAAGAGAAUUUUAUAAAUGCAUGUUCAAAUAUUACAAAGCUAGACUAUUAUGAAUCAAUUAUUGUUUCUUGAAUAAAUAUUUCUUUUCCAAUUGUAGAGAUAUUUACAAUAUCAACACUAUUUUCCUAGAUUUCGUUGCCUUAUUAGAGUUUUGAUCAAAACAUUGACCAACUAGAUAAUAUUGUGCAUGUCCAUUGACUCAAUUUGAAGUGUUUUGAUUGUAAGCUCUCUCCCAGUCGCCAAUAAAAUCCAUACUUUCUUAAAUUAUGUUUAUUGGCGCCAAUAUUUUUUUUGCAAGCGAUUGCGGCACAGCACGUUGGAAAAAGUAGAGAUAAACCAAAACUACUAUAGCCAAUUAUCUUUGAUCAUCUAGUUGUUUCGCCUCUUAUAUUAGAUGUAAUAAAAUAAAUAGACCCGAGUGGUUCGCGGUCUCAGAAUGGAAGUGUGUGUGUGUGUGUUUUUUUCCUUCACUUUAAAAUAGCACAGAAGGUAUUUUAUGGCCACUAUGUUUGCAUCCUCAUAAUCUAAGUGAUCUCGUGGGUAGUCUGUAUUGGCAUUAAAUCUAUUCCCAUGUUCUGGUGUUUCCAGUUUUUGCCAAUUUCUUGGGUAAAAUCUCCCAACUAUCUUAAAGAUAAAGAAAGUUUUCUUGGAUGCUUCUUGCACGAAAAAUGGACAGUCCAAUUUAUUAAACUAUGAAGCACUAAUAUUUCUUCAAAGCAUAAAACAACUAAAAAAUUAGUAAAAAUGAAUGAAAACCUGCUUUGGGCUUCUUGUUUUCAGUAAUCUCCGAUACAUAACUGAUAAAUCUACUAAAGUAGCAUAUCAUCAAAUUUCUUCCUCUGCUAACCUUAUCCUUAUUGAAUAUCUAAUUAUAUAAUUGUUGUAUUUGUUAAUGUAUUCAAAAUAAAAUUUCCACAGUGAACAUCUCACUACGUCAAUGACAUGGUUUGCUAGUGAUACAAAUAAAUUUUCAUGUCAAUUUUAACAAUUUAUAGGCCUCAAAUCCCUAUUAGAAUUUCUUUCAGUUGUGCUGGAGCAUCUUGAGUUUAAACCUAUUAGGUUCCCAAACACCUGAGGUCAAGUUCCUCUCCUCUGCAAGAUAUUUAUAGACAAAAUGAAGUAUUCUAUUUAAUAUUUUAUUUUACUUUUAACAAGAAAGAACGGUAAAACUGUUUUAGAACGUGCGCAUAAGCUAUAAUUAGGACUAAUAAAGAUUUGUUAAGUAAGCCCGACGUCAAGAGGUAUUUUAAAUUCAACCUUAGUAAUUUGAUGCUCUACAUCAAUGUCUGAAUGAUAUAAUGUAACCAUAUGUUAAGAAUUAUGUCAACCAUUAUAUUACUGUAGCAUGAUUCAUAGGGAAAUGGGUUAGGAGAAUCUUUUCUCGCUAGCAAUUGUCGUAUCUUUAUAGUUGACAACAUAUUACUCGGUAUUUCUCAAUGUACAUGCCCUUGAAUAAAUGGACUGAAAGUACUAAGAAAGAGAAAUAAAUUCUAAUUCAUAAUUCAUUGAAGGUUGUCUGAGAAGGAAACUCGAGCAGAUGUAGAGGAUAAGCCAGUUUCUGGCGCAUCAGACAAAUGAAUGAGGAUUGAGUUUUACUUGAAUUAAGUUUCAAGUAUUAGAACUUCUCUCUGACUAAUUGAAGAUUCACUAACGAGUUGAGCUGACUCCCUCCGCCCCAUUAACUAGUUGAGUUGGCUACGGAUGAACUGUAGGAGCGAGUCGAUCAAUCACAUGAGUCGGAUCGCGAGACUAGAUGAUUUGGAUUUCCAUCUUAAAAUGUCAACCUUGUUAGAAGGAAUAAUCCAAACCCUUAUAGGUUGGUUUAUAUAUCUUUAUUCGAUGUGUGAUUUUAUCACUUAACAUGCCGAGUAAGAUGGUCGAACCAAUCUUGAAAUUCAUGUGCUCAUUUUUUUUAGUCUUAAUAGGAUCGAAUCGCUCAUUUGAGCUUAAUAGACUCUAAUAUCAUGUAAAGAUUUGAAAUUCCAUCUUAAAAGGUCAACAUUGUUAAUAGAGGUAGUUCAAACUCUUAUAAAUUGUAUUAUAUUCUUAUCUUUAUUCUAUGUGAAAUUUUAUCCCUUAACAUCUAAGCUUGCAAAAUAGCAAAUUGCUUAGUAAAUGAUGGACCCGAUCAAUUAAAUAGAUAUCAACAUCUUACCUUUGUUUAUGGGCAUUGAGUUGGAAUGCUUUGAACUUUAGCUUGAGAAUAGACUACUCAAUUGAAGUGUUGUAAUCAGUAUUAAUAUUCCGUCGACUUUGAAUACAAUUUACAAUUUAUAACAUUCACAGAAGGUAAUAUGUAACCUUUUUUAUAAUUUUACGUAAAGAAGAAAGUUUUGUCGAUAAAAUAAAUUUAUUUCCUCCAAAUCUUCAUUACCAGUUUGAAAAAUAUAUAUAUACUAGUCUUACGCCCCUGCAAUGCAUGGGCUUUGUAAUUUUGAAGAUAAUGUUAGUGUAUCGAAUGUUAAGGGUUAACGGGAAAAUGUAUAUUAUAAAAUUUCCAUAUACACGUUCAUAGAAAAUACUAAAUAGAGUUCACAAAGAACAUAAUUAUCAGUCUAUAAGUAAAUUUGGGGUCCAUACAAUUAGAUAGAAAUCAGGAUUCUAGUGAAACUAACAUUCAUUUUUAUUUCAGUUACUUGAAACAGCUAACAUGUAAUCAAAUCAAUGUACCAUAAUUUUGUUGUGAAAUCAAAAGUCAUUGCCUCGUGUUCAUGCUCAGGUCAUCACUCGCCUAAUCACUUUGACAAUUACUUUUGUGGUGGGACAUGGUAAAUGGUGGUGCCAGUAACUAAGCUUACCUGUUACAAAGGAAAUUGUAGAAAACCAUUUUAGGACCAAUGUAUUACAAAAGAAGCUAGUAAAACAAAAGAACUCUUACGAAAAAGCAACACAUGAAACAUAAAAAAAAACAAACGUUUUGAGAGGAAUGCUAAAGACAACAUUUAUACAAUUCAAAUUCUACUGAAAAAUUAAAACGAGCUCAACAUGUGGAAGCUUUUGACAAUCCAACAGUUGCAAUUAUAUAAUUUCUUACAACCUUGUACAUAGAUCAGAAGGGGCCAUAAUUACAUAGUUGAAUUAGUUGAAGUUUCAAAAAUAAAGAACCAUAAAACAUAGAAUGCUCUUUGAUGUGAACAAAUUUCAGAGGAGGCAAUCCCGAAGUCAAAUGCUUAAUGGAACCAAAACAAUAGAUGAAUACAUCCUGAAAAUUAUAAUACGUGAAUCUAAUAAACGAUUAUUUUCAGCCAUGAGAUAUUAAGCUUUAUUUUCAUACUUGCUUAUUAAUUUGAGCUUAUAAGUUGCGACAUGUAGCAUUCCAAUAGUCCUAACUUCCUUAAUAUCGAUAUGUAAAUAGAAAUAUGCCAUUGAGACAAUUAACACAUAACAAUAAUGUCAUAAGGAUUUGUUCACUAUCCCCAGUCCUGAUCAAUUAUCAAUUGUUUGCGGCAAAACAUUUGAGCAAUGAGAAACCUGUCCAUGACAUUCUAAAUUAUUAGAAUAAAAACAUGGUUGCAGGCUUUACCUCUUCAUUAGCUUGACUUUCCGUCACCGAGGUUCAUGAAAAAGGAAAUUGUUAAUUGAACAAAGAGAAAGGAACCUAUUACACAGAGUUGCACAGGCUCAUUUCAUAUAAUAAGGGUUAAACCUGUGAAUACACGCCUCUCGACAACUUUCACGAUACUCUCGAUGGAUGUUUUGUCUUAAAGCCUAUAGAAAAUUAUUAUUAAGAGAUAAUGAGAAAUGGAAAGAAGAAUUGGAAGAAAUUCAAACCUUUCCAUUAUAUCGUGUAUCUAAUUUACCUGGAACUCAGAUAUCUUGUUUUUGAACUUCUUCAAAACCCUACAUUAAAAUAUAAUCACUUCCUUCACAUGUUCUCACAUAAUGCAUGUCUUCAAAUUAAGUCCUGAGAGAUAUUUAAAUCAAGAAAAGAGACUGACAACCCCAUUAAGUGACUUCCUUGACCACCUUACUGACAAAAUUGAACCAAAUUUCUCAAAAAUUCUAAAGAAAACCGAUAAAGGAAAGGCCAAAAGGGCAAAAAAAAGAAAAAAAAAAAAAGAAAAAAAAAUGCAACCUUAACACAAAAAAAAUUUAAAAAAUAAUCGAAAGAAUAGCCAUUGGGUGAAUAUACAGAUCUCCAUAAAAAAGAAAAAAAGGGUAUUAGAAAAAUUCUCUUUCAUUGAAAUUCCAAUAGCAUUGCAACAUAAGAUUUUUACAAAAGGAAAUUUAAAAGUCAUACCUGAUUGUCUUUCGAAGAUAUAAGAAAAUGAUUAUAUCAGAUUCUAAGUCUGAAAAGGAUAAUUACAUUAAAAAAAUUUCCAUCCAAAAAAAGGAAAAGAGGGGAGAAAAUUGAGUUUUGAAGGGAAAAUGAGAGAGGAAAAAAAAAUCUAUUUCUAAAUAAUGCAGCAGCUUGUAAGCAAAUGAGUGAGUUUCAUAUUCAUCAUAAACAGUUAUAGAAUGUUUAUUCUCUUUGGCUAAGAAUUACUGGCUAGAACUAUGCAGCGAAUGCAUGGAUUUGAGAUACCAUAGAACCAAAUCCUUAGACGAAAAUUGAUUCAAAAAUCUAUCCUUUGUAUGUGGCGUAAUGAAAUAGCAAUUACCUCAUUGACAGAUGAAUUUGGACAAUUGAUGAAAAUUCUGGCAGAAAAAUAGAAAUCCAAUCUCCUACAUAAUAUGAAAAAACUUGAAAAUUUCUAAAUAAUUUCCCAUUCUUUCUUAACUUCUUAUCUUUUCUUCAUAAUCAGACGGUUUGGUGUCAAAAUCCUUCCCAUUUCUAACACAAUGCAAACCCAUUUAAAAUAAAAAAAAUAAAAAAUAAAAAAUAAACCAUCAAUUUUCACUUUUGGCUUUUGGCACAAAUGAUUGCAUAUGUAUUUAAAGAUAAAAUAAGGUCAAAAAAAAAAAAAUCAAUCAACACUAAAUUAAUCAACAAAAUAACUGAAAUUUAAUUAAUUUAUUACCAAAAAAACAUUAAUGGCAAUUUGAUUCAAUUCUUUCCUUCUGAAUUUGCUACUUUUGCUUCUCGAUAGAGUCAUCAGUCCUUUGUUGUUAGGGAUCACAGAGGAGAAUGUGAAUAGUUUAAUCACUUUCAUCGCUUUCUCCUCUCCCUAUUCAUAAUUACUAACUAAAAAAUGAAAUAAUAUUACCUAUUUACUAGUACAAUAUUCUUGUUAUGGUUUAUUUGUACAAGUUGAGACGAACGCCGAACAAGUUAAACAACCAACAAAAAGCAAUAAAAUGAAAUAGAGAAAUCAAAUAAAAUACAAACAGAUAACAAAAAGCGAGAAUGAGUUAUUUGAAAACAAAAAAGAAAAAAAAGGCAAAUAUGAAAUCGACAUACCUUAUUUUGAUACUCUUCAAUUUGUACGUGAAUCUUUUCUUUCCUUGCAAAGAACUUCGAACAUAGAUGAAAAAGAACGAAAACUUCAGAGUAGAUAUGAAGAUAAUUCAACAAAAAAUACACAGAAAAAUAAUAAAGGAAGAUACUCGAGGUCCUCGAAGUCCAAUUUUUGUCGAAAUUUUCUGGUAUUUUGGGAACGGUUUGUUAAAUUUUCUGAAAAGAGAAAACAAAAAAUUUGAAGAUUGACAACAAAAAAUAGAAACUAACAUACCUGAAGUAAUCAAACUCGAAUUUCUUUCAAGAUUCUAUGGUAUUUUGGAAAGCUCUCAUUUCCCUAGUGAUCUUAUUGCCUGCAUCAGACAAUAAGAUAUAUCAUAACACAGAGAAAGCACUUUAUUAAUUAAACACCAUGUAUGGUCUUUUUCAGUUCUUUCGUUAGGUCAAAGAAUACCUCUGUCUAUUCACUCUUUAUCCCCUUUUGGCCCAAUAAAUGCAUUCCUUCAAUUUCUCUAAUAACAUCAACUCUCUUAAAAUGAACGUGUUGUAAAAUAAUAGUACUUAAUAACUGAUAAACAUCACGAAUUAACUCCAUUCUAUGUUACAAAAUUAAUAUUUCUUACACCUUGUAACUAAUUGCUUUGACAAAAGAAUUUAAUAUACAUUUAAUUAUAAGAGAAAACUAUCUAAUACAUACAUUAUGUGCAGUUAUAGAGGUUAUAAGAUAGAUCUAAAUUUCGAUCCAUGUAUUCUAAUGAAACAUUAAGUAAAAGCUUUUGUCCUACUUUAACCAUUUUAGUUACAACUCUUAGUAUUAGCUACAAAAAUGAUUCUACCUAAAUAUGAAAACCUUGCCACUUCAACCAUGCAACAUCAUCUUUGGCUAAGUUUUAAAGAACGGCCAUGUAAAAGAAUGUUAAUGAAUCCAAAUGUACCUAAAUAUGAGAACUUAGCCACAGUAUACCAAACACCAUGUACCAUAAUAUCACUAAAUUAAAAUUAAACCCGAAAUGAAAUAAAAUAAGAAAACAAGCAUAAAUGGCAAAGAAAGCAAAUAAUGACCAUUUGUGUAGAAUUGAGCAACAAAUUCUACUGUCGUAAGGAAAUCAUCUACACUCGAAAAAAUAGUAUUAUUCAUCUACAUAUAUAUAGAUAUCUUCAACAAAACCAGUGAAAAAUAUCCUAGGGAAUGCAAAAGUUAUUAACGAAUAUUUUAGGCGUUGGGAUUAUCCUAAGAUCCAUGAAUUCCACAUGUAUGAGGAGUACAAAUAACAAAUUAUUUUUUAGGAAGAAAAACGAAGGGAAGAAAGCUGACAACAACUUAUCAAGUAAGGAAAUAUCAAAAGGAACGUUUGGUUUUUCUCCGUAUGCUAAUGGCUUAAUGCCCAUUAUUUGCAUCACCGUAUGCCUUGGGUUUCUUGCUAGGAUAAUGCCAUUUGUACAAUGACUUUUGACAACAUUGUUGACGAUGUUGUAUAUGUCAUAAAAGUGUUAGUAGGAAAUAUAAAUUGUUUUUUAAAUUAUCCAAUGACAACGUGACCCAUUGCAUGUUGUCAACAAUAUUGUAAAAAUGAUUGUACACCAAGCAUGAUUGCGCUUGCUAUCGCUUGAUUGCAGAUGAUGCAAAUGACAAUGAGAAAGUUUUUCCAAUUUAUCCCCUUCACUUGAAUUUUCUGGGGAAGCAAAUAUUAUUAGCUAAUACAUGCAUGUACAAUAAUUAAACAUGCAAUAAUUAUACCAUUGCAGUCACACCAGCUCAAUCCCAGAGUAGUACUAAAAGAAAGUAACAAAAGAAACACCAAAGUCUCGAUACUCUUAGUAAGUCAAAUUGUAGCAUGCACGUCAAAUGUUAUUAAAAACAAAGUUUAAUGUAUACAGGUCCAAAAUAUGAAGUAAAAUGAGGCCAAAUGAACUUCUGGGUAGCUACUUACUAACUGUACAUGCAAAACCAAAGAAGCUUCUCCCUACCCACCAAAAGAAUACAAAAAGAACGAAAAACGAAAAAGAAAGAAAUUACCAUUUAUUUAGAAGUAGACUUGGCAGAGACACAGAGUUUCAUUAUCAACAUGCCAGCCACUUGAACAGAGUAACACACAUCAACUUUUAAGUUCUAUCGUGUUAUGAGAGAGCAAAUGUCAUGACAAUGAGAUUCAGGAUUAAUAAAAAUUGCAAUCUCAUCCUAAUGAGAUCAAUGAAUAAAAUCCAUCCAUUUAAUAAUUUCUGACAUUGUUUAGCUAUCAAUAAGAUAUUCUUAUGUUAAAAAUUUCACUUCCAUUAUUGAAUUUUUAUUUCUUAUAAUCACAGCAGCACAAAUUUCGGUGAUAUUUGUCCUAAAUUCUUUACAUGAAUCAACAAUGCCGAAAUCUUGUAAAGCUAGCCUCUGUGACCUGAUGUAUAGAUUUUCUAGACCACUUUACCUCCUAACGUUGACUAUUCUGGUGAGACUCAUGCCAAUUGUAAAAAUGAGGUAUUAAGACUUGAGUUUAACAAGGAUGUGAUUCUGUCAAUCUUUUCUCUUUUCUCUUUUCUUUUUUUUUUCUUUUUACAAUUUCAAGUUUUGAUAUCAUACUUGAUUUUGGUACACUAUUUUCAGCACGAGGAAAUGUCCACCAUGCUUGUAGUGUUUUAUUGACAAAGCUUUCUUCUGCAUAUGUAAAAACUUUGACAUAACACUAUCCAUUUGUGAGGAUUAUAAUAUUUGAAAUUGACUCCACCAAGCAAUAUUUCCUGAAAUCAAAGCAAUAAGUCGUGUGUUAAUAAUUUGUUCAUAUAAGAAUUGAAGAGUUUUUGAACGGAUGCAUUUCGCAAUUAAAGAAGCUUUAAGCAUCUUCAUAUUCUGGUAAGAAUAUUUACUACUCGGGUAACAAUCAAUAACUAUCUUCUUUGCACGACUUGCAUGAUAGUUGCAACUGACAUUUUCAAUAGGUAACAAGCAGUAGAUUCAUAUAUAAUAUUGGCACUCUGAACUCAAUAUUCGAUUUGAAUGAUUGACUCAGUGCAUGUAUUUAGGGCUGUGCUGUGAUGAGAAAUUGUAAUAUCUUGAAUGAUCGACAAUGUGUUUUUUCUACAUCAGUAUGUUCAAUAUAUCUAUGUCGCAUACUCCAAGUGACCAAUUGGAGUCUUCAUUGUUUAGACACGGAAGUUGAUUUCUGGUAUUGAACAAAGAAUAGCUUUUCCUUUGUCAGAUAACUGUUAUAGUGAUAUUUGAACUACUAAAAUAACUUCAUCAAGUGCAGAAUGGUCACAUUUAAUCUGGUGAAGAAGUUCAACAACUUUCUUUUCCCUGGAGAUCGGAUUUUCACUGAUGGACUUUUGCUCAUUUAAGAACUUAAUUAGGUUGUGCCAGGUAAAGUGAAGUUGGCAUUAAAUUUAAGUACAGGAAAUGCUUGAUUGGAGGAAGCGAUAUGGAAGCAUCGAAGGAAAACAAGUCCAAGAAAUUUAAGUCUCAUAAAUGCAACUUUUUCUUACAUGGGAGCAAAGAACAUAACAUUGGAGGUUAUAUGAAAAAAUGGAAUAUGCAUUUUUAAUAUGGGGUUCUGAAUGCUACGAAGUGUUGCUGACAAUUCAGUACCAGUGGAUAACUAAUAGAUAAGGACUAAGUGCAUGAUUGAGCCCCAUUUUUGGCUAAUAAUGGAUUUUGAAAUAGUAGAUUGAUGGAGAAUGUGUAGUUAAAAAAUAAAGAAAAGUUUUGAGUUGUGUAAUAUUAUUUUAUUGAAAAAUACGUGGUUGAAAAAAAAAAGAGCAAAAAAUAUAUUUUAAAAAUAGUGGAAAUCAAACAAGGACUAAAAUGAUUUCGAUUAAAGAAAAUUGAUAAUUUUUCGAGAUUUCACUUCAAAGAUAAUACCUUAAAGGUUUGUUGUCCUUGAAUGAAAGAAAAAAUAUAUUAAAAAUAUAUUCACGUAGUUUUCCUUAUUAUAUAACUUAAAUGACAUGAAUAUAGAGGAAAACUUUAGACUAAAAGAAGAAAACUGUGAAAGAAGUGUGUUUGUCCAUGUGGUAAAAAAUGGAAGAUUGCUACACUAAAUACAAUUAAAAUUUUUUUAGAAAUAACUGAAACUAUAGCCAUUUGCUUAUGUUACCUUGCAUCAAGACUCGAUUAAGGAUGUGAAUAUAAUGUGGAAUCUUGAGCUCUUUGAAUUUAUAAUUGUUGCUUCAACCUUUAUAUUUGACACUCCCUAUGGCAUUAAGUAAUUUGAAGUUAUCCUAAAAAAUAUAGAGGAGAAUUGUUGAAAGCAUAUAUUGAUAUGGCACAUAACAUAAACACCAAUGCAAGUAGUGAAGGCAAACUAAAAAUAUAUAACUUUCACACCCUCUUGUUUGCUACCUUGAUCAAAAUUUGGGUGACAUCCUCAUAGAAGGUGACAUACUCUUUGGUCAAAUUUUGAACAGGAAAUCCAAUUUUUUCAUCCUCUUUUAUCUGGAACAGUUCGAGCAUAGCGGUUUAACCAUAAAAUAUACACGAAAACUCAAACACUAUCAACAGAAAAACUACUGACUUACAGAAUUAGUUCAAAUAUUGAAAAACACAUAAAAAGUAGUCACAUUAAUCCAUUUUUUUUAUGUCUUGAUUUAUAUAGGAUCUCCAUUGUAAUUCUUACAGGCCUAAAUGUAUCCAACAUCACUCUUCAUGGUGUACGGCACCAUGUCAUCGAUCAACUGAUGCUCAUGUCUUGGGGAAACAUAUAUGUUUUAGAAAACAAUGUGAAUGGGCACGUUAAUGUUCUAUACAUCAAAGAUAUAAAAGCAACCUUAGUGAAUGUUCUUCAGAUUAUUCCUUCCACUUCUCUUCAUGUACCUCCUAAAAUAUAUCUGUGAACCUGAAAUAGUGAAAUAUUAAUGUAAAUGUUAGUAUACAGACAUACUUCAUUUUAUUAAUAUUAUAACAAUUGACCAAGGUUUUCCUAAAGAAAUCACAGCCAUCAUACUUCUUAAGAGUUGUACUCUUUGUGCUCAAGUAAAGACGCCGUUUUUUGCAAUGUCAUUGCCAUUGAUGAUUCUGCAAAUGCUUGAAUAGACUGAAAAAUUUUCACAAAAAUUCCAGAUGAUGAGGCAAAAGAAUAUAAAAGUGCCAUUAGAAAAAUUUCAAUAUACAAGCGAGUUGUGUAAAGACAAACUUGAUGAACAUUAUACAUGGCCAGGGCAACACCAGAUCCUUUAAAGUCAUAGACAUCCAGUACUUCCAUGGGUCUCUCCCCAUUUUGUGGCUCUGGGACUGAACAGAGAAUGAGCAGAAGAAACAUGUAAAGAAUGGUUUGUCCAAAGAUAUGCUAAAUUUUCUUCCAAUAACUACAAAAAAGUGAACUGAACAAAUACCAUUCUAAGGUUUUCAGAUCCUUUUAUGAUUAAAUCAAUGGAAAAAUAUUGAUUGCCAAAGGCAUUUCUGCGAAUACAAAUAGGUUUCUUCCAGCCUACAGAAAAAAGGAUCAAAGUAAAUAAUUGGUGGUUUCAUAUAUUGUAAAUAUAUACCAAGGGGAAGAAGCAGGAGUACAAGGAACAAUUUUGGGAAUGUUGUUGAACAAGAUUGGCAAACUUAACUUCUAUAAGAACUUUCAAAUAAAAAUACAAAAAUUAAGAAAUGACCAAUGGUGGGAGAAUAAACCUUGAGGACAAAAUUCAGGUUUAAACAUGGGAGCCCAUGGUAGUACAGUAUUCAUCAAAAUCUGUCAAUCACAAACGUCAAAUUAAGCGCUCAUGUGUAUCAAUUGUAGCAAGUGAAAAGCAAUGAUAACCUUUUUCGGAAUUUGCAUUUGGGUAUUUAAUAAAUUAUCCGACUUGAAACAUUUUGUUCUCCUUCUUAAAGUUAAAUAUAAUCAAAGAGCCAAAUAUGGGAAGAACAAAUUUUAAGUCUUUUCAGUUCAGUUUCUUACAAAAAAUGAGGAAAAAAACACAGAUUGAACAAAAAAUCUCAUAUUCAAUAUGACGGCUGCAGAAAUAAAAAACUUAUACACAACACGAAGAAAUUGAACAAAAAAUACAAAAAAAAAAUAAUAAUAAUAAUAAUAACAACAACAUGAAAAUGAUAGACUUUAGGUAUUUUGGGUUCGACCUCUCAGAAGAAGGAAAAGGGGGAACAAAAAAAUGCAAAUUGGACAAGAAAUCUCAUAUUCAACACCACAGCUACAUAAAUUGAAAAAUAUAUACACAACAUCCUAAACCUAACCACCCCUUGAAACAUGACUUUACGUAUUUGGGUUUGAACUCUUCAAAGAUCAAACUAAAAAUAAAAAAUAAAAAAAAUUGAAAACUAAGCAUAUAUUGAACAAUACAACUCGACAAAUUAGAAGCAAUAUACAUAAGAGAAAGAAAUCGUAGCAGUGAAGAUUAUACUUACAGGUAUAUGUCUCAGUUGCUUCAGGUUUUCCUGAAUUUCUUGCUACAAUGGUGCCUAUCGCGAGAGAGAGAGAGAGAGAGAGAGAGAGAGAGAGAGAGAGAGAGAGGGAGAGAGAGAGAGAGAAAAAAUAGAGAGAGAGAGAGAGAGAGAGAGAACAAUUAGGGUUAAGAGGCGGAGAAAAUGGGUAACCAAAUGCCGAGUCUUGCAUUUUGUCCUUUCUUUUCCCAAACGGCGUUGUCUAGGCCCAACUAAGUUAAUGAUCAGUAAAAAUCGGAUUGGUGCGUGCACGGAGGACAUGACGGAGAUUUACUACAUGUUGCGUCUUUUUUUUUUUCACUUAUAUUUUUGUGUUCAUUUUUAAACUCAUUAUGGGAUAUUAAACGAAAUCGAAAUAUUACAUUCUUAAUAUCAUGUUGAAGUACUCGCGACAUAGUAUUGCACGUCGUUAACGGUGCGUGAAACAGCUAAUCGUAGCAAAUGUUACUGGACGUCAAAAUAGGCAUUUUCAAACUAUUUUUCGAAAUUUUCGAUAAUAAGCUAACUCUAAAAAUUCAUCGACCAUUAUACGAUAGUCGAAUCGAUAAAUGUUUUACAUUCUCUCGAAACUCAUUUCGAAAAAUAUAUCAUAGACACAUCGAAUGAUGUAAGUUAAUAUCAAAAAUAGUUAAACGGACAUUAAACGUAUGUGUUAAAAAAUGCGUAUAAAUCAUUUUUCUUCAAGAAAUCAAUUAUUUUAUUACUAUUUAUUAUUUUUUCGCAACAAUUCUCUCAAUAAAUCAUUUUGUUCAAGAAAAAUUAUGUGGUAUGACGUAAAUUUUUUUUUUCAUGCACGGAGUGAAUAUUUUUUUUUUACAUUUUAUUUACAAUAAGUUUUUUUAUUAAUAUAAUUUUAAAAAUUUAAAUAUAUAGGAUAUGAUUGAUAGUUAAUAACGUGAGAAUUAAAAGAAAGAGCAUGGUGUAUUAGAUUCAAAGUAAAGGAGAAAUAUUGCAGUAGACGUGAUAUUGCACUCAAAUGGCAUGUGAGAAAAUUUCUACAGUGUUUUUGAAUAAAAAUUUUUCUGUUGCCAAACCAGUUCCCAAACUGGUUAAGUUAUUUAAAAGUAAAAGAAGAGAUUACACUAUCUAAAAGAUAAAAAAUUACUUAUAAGUAAAAAAAUCACUUGAAGUUAUUUAAAAUAAAAAAAACUUAUAAUUGUAAAAGCUACUGAUAGGUAAAAAAAAUAUUAAUCCCUCAUUCUCUUAUAAUUGCAAAAGCUACUUAUAAAAAAAAUGUGAACUUAAAAUUUUUUAAGUAUAAAUAUUUAUAUAUAUUUAUUUUUUAAAAUUAAAUAUUAAUAAAAAGAUUAAACUAUUUAGAAUGUAAAAAGUUACUUAUAAGUAAACAAAUCACUUCAAGUUAUUUAAAAGUAAUAAAAAAAUUAUAAUUGUAAAGGUUACGUAUAGGUAAAAAAUAUUAAUUUCAACAUUUCUAAGUAAAUAUUUAGAUAUAUUUAAUUUUUUUAAUUAAAUAUUAAUAAAAAAUGUACUACAAAUAAAAGUAAAAAAAAAAAAAAAAAAGUGCAUAUUGGUGCUUGAACUCCCCGCACGCAUUGCUAAAUUUUUUUUUUUAAACUUAUGUUUUUGUGUUCAUUUUUAGGCUCAUUACGGGAUAUCAAACGAAGUCAAAAUAUUAUAUUCUUAAUAUCAUUUUGAAGUACUCGCGGCAUAGUAUUGUACGUCGUUAACGGUGCGUGAAACGGCUAAUCGUAGCAAAUGUUACGGGACGUCAAAAUAAACAUUUUCAAACUAUAUUUCAAAAUUUUCGAUAAUAAACUAACUUUAAAAAUUCAUUGACGAUUGGACGAUAGUCAAAUCGAUAAAUGUUUUACAUUCUCUUGAAAUUCAUUUCAAAAACUAUAUCAUAGAUACAUCAAAUGAUCUAAAUGAAUAUCGAAAAUAGUUAAACGGACAUUAAACGUAUGUGUUAAAAUAUGUGUAUAAGUCGUUUUUCUUAAAAAAAAAAAAAAAAAUUAUUUUAUUACUAUUUAUUAUUUUUUGGCUACAAUUUUCUCAAUACAUCAUUUUGCUCAAGAAAAAUUAUGUGGUAUGACGUAAAUUUUUUUCUCCAUGCACGGAGUGAAUAUGUUUUUUUAUAUUUUAUUUACAAUAAUUUUGUUGAUUAAUAUAAUUUUAAAAAUUUAAAUAUAUAAGAUAUGGUUGAUAGUUAAUAGCGUGAGAAUUAGGAGAAAGAGCAUGGUGUGUCAAAUUCAAAGUAAUGGAGAAAUAUUGCAGUGGACAAUGGCGUUUGACAAAAUUCCUACUAUAUAUUUGAAUAGAAUUUUUUCUGACAAAAUUCCUAUAGUAUUUUUUAAUAGAAUUUUUCCUGUUGCCAAACUAGUUCUCAAACCGAUUAAGUGUGAAAACGAGUGAACAAAAAAUGAACAGUAAACCCUCAUUCUUUCUUUUAUGGUAGUGUAUGUAUACACACACAUGCAUGCAUGUGUCCAAGGGUGUACCGAAUGUAAUUAUGGUUGAUAAUUGUUGGGCUGUAAUGCCAUCACAUCUGUAAGUGGGGCGAUGAUAGUAUCAUGGGCUUGGCCCAUUUUGGGUAUUUGAUCCAUUACAUGGUAUUUUAAAUGUGGAGGCCCAAUACCCAUACCCAAUAUAUGGAAAAUCACAUUUUGGAAGAGCAAUUUUAGUUGCCAAUUAAUGCUGAAGUCACUAAUUGCCCUCGACCAUUGAUCAUCAUCCAAAAUCAAUGGUGAUGGUGUAAAGUAUAAAUGGGGUCUUACGUUGUUGCCCUAAUUCACUUGUACUUUGAUAUUUUUUGGUGUUUUCUGGAAUUCUCACUAAGUUAGGUUUGUUUCUUUUGUCUUCUUUCGAUCAUCUUUAACCUCUAUUUGGAAAGUUUCUUGUGGUUUUCUGAGUGAAAUUUGAGUUUCUGUGGUUGAUAGUGAGAGAAAAGUGUAGUUUCAAGUUCAAUGCCUUCUGGUCCAUAAAAGAAGUGUCUUCUAAUCCACUAACAGUUUAGGUUUGAGGUUUCUGGUUUGUAAACAAGGGUAUCCGAGAUACCUUAGGUUGUGUCUUGAGUUGUAAUCUUUGAUAUAAAAAUUUUGUAUAGUUUGGUUCGAUUUUUGUUCUAAUAGUAACUCGAUCGAUUGGUAAGUUAGAUUGAAUAAUAUUAGAUAAUCCCUCCUUAUCUUAAAAGAGAGAAUAUAAGGCUUACAGUUCAUUUUUGUCCCAUAGAUUUUCACAUGAAACUGGUUUGAAAUUAGGCUGACAACAGUAAAUUAUACCAUUCAAUGGCACUGUAGCAUUUUUUUCACACGUCAUUUCACUACAAUUAUUAAAAAAAGGAAUUGAGGGCAAAUAUAGAAAAAAAUUAUUAUAAAUUUUUUAAAUUAAAUUAAAAAUAAAAAUUAUUUAAUUUAAAUUUAACAAAUAACGUUCUAUCAUAAAAGAAUGGAUAAAUAUUAUGAUCAAUGAAAUAAAUAUUAUUUCAGUUCAAUUCCUAGUAUAAAAAUAUGGCUUGUAUCUGCCCAAUGUAAAUCAUCAAUGAAAUAUGAAUUCCUUCUUCAAGUUCCUUUCUCUCUCUUUCUCUUUCUUUGGUUAAUUUUCUCCGGUUAAUCUUGCAAUUCAACACGAAUUGUAUUUUUGUAACUUAUUGAAUUUAUUUCUUGCUCGACUUUCUUUUUUCAGUUUCCGUUUCCGUUUAAUCUUAAAGGGUUAGGGUUGUAGAGUUGUCCUCUUUUUCUUUCUGUCUGUUAGGGAUAUUAUACGGAUUUGUGUUUGUGAAAAUGGCCUUCGAUUUGGUGUUUUUAGUUGAUCGUAUGCUCAUUUUUUAGGGAUUUGAAUGUCAGUUUAUUUGUGAGUGUUGUAUAUCUGUAUUUGUACCUUUCGAGAAUUUGAUGGUGCCUCUCCCGGCUGGCUUUCUUGGAUUUAUAUAUUUUCAUAUUUUGUCAAUUUAUUUUUCCCCUGUACUCUACCAGCAAAAAAUUGAUAAAAGAUGUGAUAAAUUAAGUGAAAGGAGUAAUAGAUAUCUACAGGGAUAUUGAAGUUUGAAUGCAGAUCAGCAGUUGUUAAUUUUAUUGCUACAUUUCUCAGGGGUGGGGAAAAGUUGGAAAAUGUAGCUGAUUUCUAGAGAAAUCAAGAUAUAGAAAUUGUUGCCAAGUUCCCCCCUGCUUAUUUCCCCCAAUUGUGGGGUUGGGGAUGUGAGCGCAGAAAAGCUUGCCCCCUGAAUCUGUACUCGUAAUCAAUAGAGUUAUAAACCAUACUUUACCAUAUCCAGCUAAUUUUGUCGGUUAUAUUAUCAAUUUCUUUGAAACAACCCGAACUUUAUAUUUGAUUUUAUUAUUGUAAAUAUUAUCAUAGCUUCAUUGUCGAAAUACGAACUUCUUGUCUACGUCUUACAAUUGGCCAUAUAAAUCCCCACCCCCAACCUUUAUGAACAUAGUUUUUUCGUGCAAAAUUUGUAGUAUCACACGUCAGUUGUAAUCAGUGUAUGCUUUUAUUUGACUCGUUAGACCUUCACUUUGCUAGGCUUGCAGCGUAUACAAUAACAUUAACCAUCCAAGCAAGUUGACAGUUGGAGCGGACUUCCACUGUUUCAAGGAUAAAAUUGAGCCAAAAUGGGAAGAUCCUGAUUGUGCCAAUGGAGGAAAGUGAACUGUGACAGUGAUGUAUGAACGACUUACAAAUAAUAUCUUCUAAUGAGGAUUUGACUUGGAAACAUAAUCUUCCAAUAAUGUGUCAAUUGUCAGCAUGUGACACAAUAACGUAACACAUGGUUAAUUAAAUUCGUUCGGUGUUAAACUACAAGAUAUGUACAUAUUCCUUUUUGAAAGUACGUCUUUAAAUAAAUAUUUUUUUGUUAAUAAUCACGGUCUCUCGAAUACGGCAUGCGCCUUUGCAACUAGCAUGUUUCUGUUGAAUAGUGAUGGCCACUGUUCAUGCAUAGUGGAGAUUAAUUGGUAGAAAGUUUUCCAUUCACAUUUAAUGCAGAGGUUAUCAUGCAUGAGUUUCUUCUCAAAUUUCAAAUGCAAUUGGGAAUGACAUUAAAGUCACUGAAUGGAUAUGCGUGAAUAGCAUUUUGCAGCGAGUUAAGAGGGACAAAAUUGAAAGAUUAUCUCUACGUUGCAAAUAAAAUACAGAGAAUGUAUUUUUGCAUUGCUCUUCUUCUCUUGUUGAUAUAGUGAAAAAUUUGUGUGAGUUUGUGGACGUAGGCAUGAUUUUCGAACCACGUAAAUUAUUGUGUCAUACUUGCAUUUAUUUUUGUUAUCUUCAUUUGUUCUCAUUUUAAAUUAUUUUGCAUCCCACUGAUCUUGACAAAGUUAGUAGCUUUACACUUUCCACCACUAUAAUAGAAUCCUCUUUGCAAAUUUUUUAAUCAAGUUGUUCGGCUAACUUUUGAGUACUAGAAAUGAUUGUACUAAUACGUGAGAUUAUCGCUUAAAGUCUAAAAGCACAUUUUCUCAGUUCCAUACCCGUUGGAAGGUGCAAGACAAGUACAAGAUACAUAAUUAACAACUUUAUUAUAGGCAUGAAGCAAAACACAAUGGAGGAAAAAAAAAGGUUGAACCCCAACCUUGAGAGUCUCCCCCACCCGCCCCGACCCUAGAGUUUUGUGAGGGAGAUAAAUCGCGGGUUGUGCCCCAACAGGCCAGGGAACAAGAACUGUCUGUACACUGCACCUACAAGGAGUUCAAUUUCAUGUCUCAGGAAUCGAACCCCCUCACUGUGGCUACCAACAAGGCGUAAGAUAACCUCACUCCUGUCCUUUGCAUCACUAGGCUAUGCCCUCGGGGGAGGGGGGGCAAAAAAAAAAACACAAUGGAGAAUUCACACAUAAUAUUGAUUGAGUAAGGUCUAUGUCUAAUUCUUUUAGGACAUGUUUGCGCCCAAUAUUGGACAAGCCAGUACAAUGAAUAAGAUUUUAUUUAUUUUUUCUUAAUAUUUUACAGUAUUUUCUUGUUCACCCAAUACCGUGAGGUAUUUACUCUGAGGAUAAUGCAAUAGGACUUCUUCAUGAAUCCCUUCACUCCAACUAUAACAACCAAAUGCAAACUCAUUUUCCCGCAUAGGCCUCUUCACUACAACUGUUAUGUUGAAGCCCCUACUUUUCCGCUUUAGCGUUGAAGUGUAAUGUGGAUGGAGAUAUUUCUAUGGAGUAACCAGGAUUUUUUUUAAUCGUAACUGAGUAGAAGACUUAUUACCAACAUUUGUAACAGUUCGAGCGACAAAGUAUGAAGACUUACUACCAACAUUUGUAACAGUUCGAGUGACAAUCGUGGAUACUUUAAGCUUAGGCGCUUAGCAAUUGCUAGCCAUGGAUAGUUGAGAUUACUUGGCGAAGGAAUAACAUUGGGACACUUGAAAGAUGGAACGAGCAAAUUACAGUUAUUAGGACAGAGGAAGAGAUGAUAGUCAGUAUAAGAAGCAUUAUAAACAAGUCCUGAAUCAACUGCCUUUGAAGGUUGAAUGUGGCCCACGUUAUUAUGUAAAGGAAUAAAAUCUCAUAUCGCAUAAAAAUAAAAAUUUAGACUAACUUAUAAGAAUUUGGGAUAAAGUGUCUUUUUUUUUCUUUUCUAAAUAAAAUUUUUGUUUAAUGGCCCUUGAAUAUUUUGAGUACUCUUAAAGAAAUUUUUUCUUGCUACUUAGGUAACAGGCAUCUCUGCUGUAAGCCGGCCCGUAGUCGAAGCGAAAAUAUUCCAAACGAACAGUAUUUAUUGAAAUCUAAUUCGGGUAACAAGUAGGUGAUUUUCUUCUCCUUGACCAUAUCAACAUUUCAUAGUUGAUGGUUUUUUGUGUUGUGAAUCGAUGGUGAUAUACGCUGAUGUGUUGUUUUGGAUGAAACUUGUGUUAUUUUUUGCUAGGAUUUUAUUUCAUUUCUCUUGAAUGUUUAAGAAAAUGUAGGAAGACAUUUUAAAGGCCGAAAAGAAAGAACACCACUUUAUGGAAUAAAUAAAAGAGAUUCUGCUGGGAGAAUGAUUGAAUUUUUAUAAUUGCAUUCUUUGCAUCAUGACGCCUAAAUAAAUAUAUAUGUAAUUGCUCGCCUCACAAAGCAAAUUGGAACGGGCAGAUAUCUGGACAGUUUAUGGUUCACUAGAUAAAUUGAUAGCUUGUGACACUACGCGACUGCCGGCAAGCACAAAUGGCAAGAUAAACGCACGAUGUGAUCUGGAUAGGAAGCGAGUGAUCCAAGUAUGAGUUUUGCUCGAAUUCUCGUCCAGACAUUUUUGUUGAAGGCGAACCGGUGGCAAGAAGCUGAAACAUUAAAAAUUCUAAUUUUUUUUCUCCAUUUAUGUGGGCUAGUAAUGAAAUCCACUGUGUUCAUAUCUGUAGAAGCAUAUCACUUUUUUAUGACUUAGUCCAAAAGUUCCCAUGAAGAAAUUUACAAGCCAAUUUCCUUCUUACUACUGCUACUACUCUUACUACGUGCCUUUGUAAUACAUUUUAAUUAUUUAAUUAGUAAUAAUUGAAGAAAUGAAUUAAAAUAAAAUCACUUAAGAAGUUUUAAAAUAUAAAAAAAAUGAUUAUUUAAAGUUAAAACGAAAAUGUCACAACAACCAUAUAGACACGUCAUUCUACAAUUAUUUAAGGAAAACAUUACAUAAAACAAGUGAAUACAAUAUUUUCAUUAAUUUAAUGUAAUUUAUGCAAUUGUAAAGUAAAUGACUAAAUAAUUUUUCAGGUUAAUAAAUUGUUGAGAAUAAAAAAAAAUGAAGAAAAUAGUUAAAUACUGUUUAUUUGGUGUAGUGGAUUGGAGAUGAAUUUUAUUUUGGUACAAGAUUUUGGGCAAAAUAGUGCAAAACUCACCUUAAAUUUUGAUUUAGGGUUGGAGAUGGCCUAAGAACUUCAACAAUUAGAACAAAAAUAGAGGACCUCACGAAGAAAAAUAAGCACUUUAUACCUCGUAUGCAUUGAUUGUGGUGUUCAAUAUAGAUAGUUGGUGAUUGACCAGAAUAAGAUAAAAUGACAAUUGGUGAUUGAAAAUGAUAUAUUUAAUAUUUCUAAGAAAGUUGUGAGAUAAUUUAAUGAGAACUUGAACAUGUUUUUAAAUAGAAAGGUUUGAGAAUUCAUUUAUUCUUUUUUGAAAGUUAAAGACUGACCAAGGAACUUCAACACUUAGAACAAUAGUAGCAUACCCCACAAAGAAAAAUAAGUACUUUAUACCUCAUAUACGUUAACUUUGGUGUUCAGCAUGAACAAUUGGUGAUUGAACAAAAUAACAUAAAAUGACAAUUGACGAUUGAACAGAAUAACAAAAAAUGAGAAUUGGUAUUUGGAAAUCAAACAUAUUUCUAAGAGAGUUGUGGAAUAACUUAACGAAAACUUGAAUUUAUAUUGAAGGUCAAGAGUUCAUUUAUUCUUUUUUGAAAGUUAAAGACACACUAAGACCUUCAAAAAUUAGUGAAAAACAAUAAUAACGGACCCAAGAAGAAAAACUAGCACUGUAUACUUCGUAUACAUUGAUUUUGGUGUUCGGAACAUGGCCACAUAGCCCUGUUUUUCCAGGGUUUGUGGCCUUGUUUGAGAAGAUUUAUCCUUUGAAAGGCUCUGUUUGAGAAGAUUUAUUCUUUGAGCGCAAAUAGUUUGAAAAGGGGUCGAAUCUUCAACUUGUUCCUUUAUGUUUAGUAAUUUUUUACUAGUUCAAAUAUAAAAACAACACAAACAAAUUGGUUUGUCAGUCCGUUAUACAAAAGUUAGCCCUUGUUUGGUAGAGAUUAAAAUCGAAUUUUUAGUAAAUUUUGAUAAAAGUUGAUGAAAUAUGUAGUUGAAAAAUUGUAGGUUACAUGAAAUAUGCGGUUAAAUUUGGCUAUACAUAGAUAAAUUAAUAGAACUAGUGCAUAAUUAGUACGUAGGGUACUGAAUAGCCUUGUACAACCUGUAAAACACGAUUUCAUGUAGCGUGUUCACUAAUCAUCUGAAUUCUUAUAUUCUAUUACAAUGUUAAGUCCCUAUUUGAUUUAGCUAAAAAUCAGAUUGAUAAAAAUUGAUUAAAAUUGUGAGUAUCAUAAAAUGUGUGAUUAAAAUUAAUUAUUGAUUUCAACUUAAAUUUUUGUCAACUUUUUUAAUUAAAUGUGAAAGCGUAUGUGGCAUAUGAUCAUAAAAAGAAUAAAAAAGUACCUAAGUUAAAUACAGCCGGAGUAGUUUUGGGCAAAGAAAGAGAACAUUAAGUGCAUGUUUAUACAUAGAACUCGACAAAUUUUUUCUUUAAAUCUUGUCUGUUAUUUUACAUUUAACCUUACUAAACAAGCCAUAAAAAUAUGCACUUUUUCGUAUAUUUAUUUAGGGUAUAUACUGUAUGACACGAAGAUAUAUUUUCUGACAACUUUCAAGAGUACGACAAUUUGUUGAGAGAAUAAUUCUGCAAUCCUAUGUACCUGUUAAUAUCGUCACAGAGAUAUAAGGUUAGGUGGAUAGAGAUCUCUGGAAGAGGUAAACGAAGAGCCAAUUUCUAGUGCAUCAGAAGGAUUAGAAAGGGUCUGAGUUUUACUUGAACUAGGUUUCAAGUCUUCAAACUUCUCUCUGAGUGAUUGAAGCUUCAAUUCAUCUUCGUAGAUGCUUGGAUCUAUCUUAAAUUCCUGAACAUUUAUAUAUCCUUCAAGCAUGCCACAGACCAUGGACAUUGGAGGCCUUAGGGAUGGAGAUGGAUUGGUGCACAAUAGAGCAACUUUGAUCGUUCGUUUUGACUCGUCCAUAUUGAAAUUUGAACCCAACCUUGUAUCCACGAGCUCCAUCAACCUUCCUUCGUUCUGCAAAAUCGUAGCUUGAGACGAAAGGCUAUUGCGUGAGACCUUUCUUCGUGGACAUAAGAACGAAAAAUAGGUUAAUGAGAUAAAACUUCAUUAUCUGAUUUGGAGAAAAUACAAAAAUCUUACCCAAUCAAGAAGGCAAAUGAAACUUUCACUGGGUCGAUAUUUCAUGUUGCUCUUUCCAGAAACAAUUUCUAGUGCAACGACGCCAAAACUGUACACGUCUGCUUUGUAGGUUAAGUAACCCCACAUUGCAUAUUCUGGAGCCAUAUACCCACUACAAAAUGAAAAUGAUCAAAUGCAUAUUAGCACAAGCUUUCGCUCCUAUUUCUCAAAUAAACAAGCUCAAAUUUCAAAUGUUGCACGUGGAUGAUUUGAAUAAUAAUUUAGUGUUGCAAAUGUUGUGAUAGUAAAUAUUCCAAAAGACUUUAAACUGCUUUCAUCUUGUUCAAGUUUGUAUAAAAAGUUCAAUUGUAAGUAAAUAAAGUGAAUUUUUCAAUAAAUAAUUAUUUUAUUGGUCAACUAAAAAUGGUGAGAUGAAGAAAGAGAAAAAAUCUCACAUGGUCCCUGCAACUCUAGUGCUGAUGUGGGAGUUAUCAUCCUCAUCGAGCUUAGCUAAACCAAAAUCGGAAAUCCUUGGAUUGAGGUCUUUAUCAAGAAGAAUGUUGUUAGGUUUUAUGUCUCUAUGAACAAUUUUCAAUGUGGAUUCUUCAUGCAAAAAAGCCAAGCCUCUUGCUAUACCGAUACAAAUUCUUUGUCUGGUUGGCCAG
rnacentral:lncRNA from 1 species